rnacentral:lncRNA from 1 species
UUUUUUUUUUUAGUUCCUAUAUAUUUUUCCAAUUAACCAAAUUCAACUAAGUUCAGUUUUGGUGUUCAGGACUUCAAAUUUGAGUGCCAAAGAAAAUCAAAAUAGGCUUAUAUGAACAAAACAGAAAUGGGAAAAGUUCAUCUUUCUUUUCCUCAUAUUUAUUAGCAAACAAACAAAGAAUUAUUCGUAUGUACUUCCAAAAACUCAACCCCAUCAAGGCCAAAGUCUAUUUUCUUUUCAAUUCCCAUAUUUUCUUUCAAUUAUCCAAAUUCAACUAAGCUCAUUUUUUGUUGUUCAGGGUUUUAACUUUGAGUGCAAUAAUAACAAAACAGAAAUGGUAAAAGUUCUUUUUUUAACCUCACAUUUCUCAGCAAACAAACAAAGAAUUAACCAAAUGUACUUCUAAAACAUUAUAUCAUUAAUCUACUGCUUUAACAUCAAUAGUCAAAAGGACUAAAAACUUUGACAAAGAAGAGUAGAAGAAGCCAGAACUAGAGAUAACAAGAAAUUAAUGAAAAUACCUCAGCCACAACUAAGAACAAAGCAAAAAAGAGGGGAAAAUCAGUGUUAAAACACUGCUAAACCAAGAAUAAAGCAAAAGAAAAUGGUUGUUUCAUUCCCAGAAAUAAUAGUAAUAAUAAUAACAACUGUGACAAAGAAGAGUAGAAGAAGCCAGAACUAGAGAUAACAAGAAAUUAAUGAAAAUACCUUCAAAAAGUAGCCACAACCAAGAACAAAGCAAAAAAGAGGGGAGAAAUCAGUGUUUUACUUCUCAAAUAUGAAAUAGAAAAUAGCUGUUUCGUUCCUAAAUCUGAAAACAACUGUGGUUGGGAAAGAAAUUAAUUUAAGUUUCAAGGCUAAAAUGGUAAAAUAAUAAAUAAAAGUAUGGGUAUGUUUGUCUCAUAAAAAUACAUACAAUCGUACUAGCGUUAAAUGCAGUUGAAUCCUUCAGGCUGUUUUCAGCAUAUCAGUGUGGCUGAUUAAAGUUUUCACUAGACUGUGUUGUUGAACCAAACAGCAUACCAGUGAGUUUACUAUCCUUCACUGCACCACACUGACCUUCACUAGUAAACCAAAGGAACCCUAAGUCAGCAUACUUUAUACCAGUGCGUGCCGACUACUCCCUUGAAAAGUUGGCCGACUUGUAUGUUUCUAAGAUUGUGAGGCUUCCUGGUGCGCCGUUAUCAAUUGUAUCCGAUCGAGACCCGAGGUUCACCUCGUGAUUUUGGAAAAAGUUGCAAGAGGCUCUAGGAACCAAGUUGAGUUUCAGUACGGCAUUUCAUCCACAAACUGACGAACAGUCAGAAAGAGUAAUAUAGAUCUUAGAAGACAUGUUGAGGUGUUGUGUUCUUGAAUUUCAAGAAAGUUGGGAAAAAUACUUACCAUUGGUUGAAUUCGCCUACAAUAACAACUAUCAGUCGAGUCUAAAAAUGGCACCUUAUGAGGCUUUGUACGGGCGAAAGUGCCGAACGCCCUUAUUCGGGACUGAGUUGAGAGAGAUUUAGAUUCACGGGGUUGAUUUGAUCAAAGAGGCUGAGGAAAAAGUUAAGGUGAUUCGCAACUGUUUGAAAGCCACCUCGGAUAGACAAAAAUCUUAUGUGGAUUUGAAAUGGUAGGAUAUUAAGUUUGAGGUCGGUGAUAAGGUAUUUUUGAAAGUUUCCCCAUGGAGGAAAGUCCUCAGAUUUGGUAGAAAAGGCAAGUUGAGUUCUCGCUUCAUAGGAUCUUAUAAGGUUACCGAGAGAGUAGGGCCUGCUGCCUACCAUUUGGAUUUGCCGCCAGAGUUAGAAAAGAUUCAUGACGUGUUUCACGUGUCCAUGUUACGCCGAUACAGAUCUGACCCUUCGCACAUAAUUGCGCCAACUGAAGUUGAGAUUCUUCCAGAUAUGACUUAUGGUGAGGAGCCAGUCAAUAUCUUAGCUCGAGAGGUCAAACAGUUAAGAAAUAAGAGUAUACCACUUGCGAAGGUUUUGUGGAAUAGACAUGGAGUCAAGGAAGCCGCAUGGGAACCCGAGGAGUCUUUGAUAGAGCAGUAUCCGAACUUAUUCACUGGUAAGAUUUUCGAGUACGAAAAUCUCUAAGGGGGGAGAAAUGUAAUAGCCGGAUUUAGGGCCUAGUCAGAACAGUGGUCUCAGGAUCACAAAUCUGAAGUUGGGAAAAUUAAUUUAUUAUAAUUAUGAGAUUAUAGCAUGAUUAUAUUAGUGUUUGAAAAUUUUGACAAGUAAAUCUUAAUGAUUGUGAGCCCAAUUGCGAAAAAAAGACUAAAUCACAUAAAGUGCAAAAGUCAUAAUUUGAUAGCUAAAGGUGUUAUUUUAUUAAAGAACCAAAAAUUAGGGGUCUUUAGUGUGCAAAUAGGCCCUUAAUUGAUGGAAUAGCCGGCCAUGAGACAUAAAGGAGACAAAUUUUAAAAGUAGGUAGAAAUUUGGUAGCUAUUUUGACCAAAAAGAAACAAAAUAGAAAAAAAUUGCCAAUUUCUUUUCUUCUCAUCUCUUUCCGCUGAAAUUUUCAGCCAUGAAAGCGGGUUUGAAAGCUUAAAUUUUGCAGCAACUUAUUCCUCUCACAAGUAAGUGAUUUUAAUGAGUUUUCUUCAAGAUUUUCACAUUUUUGAUACCCUUGAAGCAUGAGCUUUCAAAUGAGGGUAAUAUCUUGCAAAAAGGUCAAGAGUUUAGGAUUUUUCCAUGGAUGUAAUUGUCAUAGAUGCUGAGUUUUUAUGGAGGACUACGAGUCCUAGUUGUGUUAUAAGCUACUUUUGAAAAAGGUGUUAGCUUGAAAAUACCUAAAGGAACCAUUUUGCAUAAGUUGCAAAAUAGAUAAUAAGUGUAUAAAAUAGUGAGAAUUUAGGGUUACUAUGAGAGUAAAUAAAGUUUAGCUAGGCUUGAAAUACGAAGAAAUUCAAAAAAAUCGAUUUUCGAAUAUAGGGGUAAAAUGAUCAUUUUGCUAAGGCCUAGGGGCAAAAUGGUUGUUUUACAAAAGAUGUAAAAUUAUGAAUGCCUAAUUGUAAUUAAUGACUAAAUGAGUACAUUUCUGCUAUUAUAGAUCAAGAUUUACCAAAACCGAGCCUAGACCGGGGUAAAGUCAAGCAAUCUGAUUAAGCCGUCUAGCCAAGUAUUUUUUGUAAACCGAGGUAAGUUGUAUGUAAAUAAUACAACUAUUUUGUUAAAUGCAUGUAUUAGAUUGUUAUUGAUUUUGAUAUAGCAUGAAUUUCUAGAUUUUGAACUAAGUAUGCAUAUUUAUGAUUGAGAAAGUAGAAAGAUCCAGUGGGAACCCUAGGAAACAAACCAGAUGUUCAUGCCAUAACAUUGGGUUAUGAGAGAGCCAGUGUGAGACCAUGUCUGGGACAUAGCAUUGGCAUUGAAACGAUGGCUAGGGUAAGGCAUGUUUGGGACAUGCAUCAACCACAUUACGAUAGCCAGUGUAAGACCAUGUCUAGGACAUGGCAUCAGCGUGGAGAUGAGUGCCAGUGUAAGACGUGUUUGGCACAUGCAUCGGCUAAGGUUCAUGCUAGUGUAAGCAUGUCUGGGACAUGCAUCAGCACUUAUACAUGGGAGCAAGUGUAAGACCAUGUCUGGGACAGGGCACGACCUCGAUGAAGAUAGCCAGUAUAAGACCAUGUCUGGGACAUGGCAUCGGCAACUUAACCCAUGUUUGAGGCUUAUAGAAUAUCCGGUAGUAUUUCCAAAAGGUUCAACUUUAAGAGUUAAGAAAGAUAUUUAAUAAGGAAAGCAUGAUAAUUUUUUUAGUGUUACAGGUACCUAUUUUGGUAUACACAUGUAAUGAUCUCAAUUAGAAAAUGUGACUUGAGUGGACGAUAAUGAGUAAGUCAAGUUAUGCUUACCUUUGAGCUAUGAGCAUGAUAAUAAAUGGUGAAAUUGUUGUUGUAUAUUUAUUUAUAUGCAACUUACUAAGCUUUAUGCUUACUUUCUUUCCCUUCUCUUUUCUUUCAGUACUGCCAAAUUUCUCAAGGAUCCCUUGAAGUCAGAGAUAUCGAUCACACUAUCAGCCGUAAUACUCGGUAUAAUUGGAUUUAUAUUUUUUAUUAUGGCAUGUAUAGGGCUAGACUAGGAAUUUGUAUUAUUGGGAAAUUGUUUAUGUAUAUUGGCUUAAGAUAAAAGCCCUUCAUUUUGUAUUAAGCCUAGAUAAUGGCUAUUAUUUAUUUUGGUAAAUGUAUAUGAUGUUCCUUCUAUGAAUGAAUUGAUGUCUUUUGGGAUGGAAUUAGUAUAUUGAAAUGAUCUUGUGUAGGUUGUGCAAAAUGGCUUGGAAGAUAGCCUAGUUUGUCCACACGGGCAAGACACACGGGCGUGUGUCUAAGUCGUGUGUGACACACAGCUCACCCCUAUGGGUGUGUGUUAUGGCCGUGCAUCCCCUGCACUUAAACUUUUAAGUUAGUAUUGUCCACGGGUAGGCCACACGGGCGUGUGCCAUAGCCGUGUCUAUAAGUCACUAUUGUCCACGAGUAGGCCACACGGGCGUAUGUCAUGACCGUGCCCUAAAGUCAUGUUACACACGGGCUAAGGGCAUGGGCGUGUCUCGAGUCACACGGGCGUGUGGAACCCUAAGGCAUGAACUUUUCCAAGUUUUUCUUAAGUUCUCAACUUAAACUUAAAUCAUCUUGAAUGUAUGUUUUGGGUUUCGUAAGUCCUAUUAAGGGACAGAUUGAGUAUGAAAUGAAAAGUUUUAAAUUAAUCAAAAUUUUAUGGCCCAGUUUCACAUGCGUUUGCUUGAGUUAAGUCUGGUGACACCUCUAACCUUGUUCCGACGUCGGAUAUGGGUGAAGGGUGUUACAAUGAGAUUAAGUUGGCUUCGGGCCAUGAUAUUGGCACUUUGGUGGGAGUUUUUCGUGUAUCCAAUAGUAUUCUAAAUUGUUCAACGGGUUGUGCAUGAGAUUGAGACGAGAUGGUACAAGUAUGUAUAUAAACCGCAUAAGCUUAAACCGAAGAAGUUAUGAAGUUCAUACAUAAGAUUAUGAUAGAAAAUGUGAAAGGUUUGUUAGUUAUGUGAAUUACAUGUUGAUAUGUUCAAAUUGAUGAUUUGUCUAAUUGUGUUAAGAUUGAGUUUAUUUCGUACGAGCUUACUAAGCUAUAUAGCUUACUUUGUUCAAUUUUCCAUUUUUAGUGACUUUAAAACUAACUCUGACUCGGGGAGCAUCAAAGACAUCAUCACACUAUCCAAAUAUCAAUUUGGUAUUUUUGAGCUUAUGUUUUGAGUAUAUGGCAUGUAUAGGGACUUUGGUCAUUUUGGUAUACUUGGUAAUGUGUUGUGCCAUUUGAAAUGGCUUGUUUAUGUUUAUAUUUUGGUUGUAAAUAUACAGCCAUGAGAUUUGGUUUAAGAUAUUUUAAAUGUAUAUGUAUAUGUGAGAAUGGCCUAUGAUGUGGUCCAUAAUUGCUUGCAAAUGGUUUGUGGUAAUUUAGCAUUUAUGGUAGCUAAUGGUUACAGAUAGGUAUUGUUGUUUGUGAUUUUAGGUAAGAUAAAAUAUUUGGUUAAAAUAAUGCAUAUAAAUGUUUGAGAUUAAUGUGUAUAGAGAAUGGGAGUAUUGAAUGUGCAUGAAUUAUGUUUGAUUUGGUUGAAUUGAAAUGCCUUUUGAUGCUAUGUAUUUGUGCCAAUUGAUGUGGUGUAGGUGCAUGCAAGUUUGGGUGGCACAAUGUCUUGGUAAAUAGCCUAUUUUUUUUCUACACGAGCAGAGACCGGGAGUGUGUCUCAGCCGUGUGUGACACAUAGUUAUGUUACACGGUCGUGUGUCCCCUGGUGUUGAAAUUAAAAUCAAGUCAGUAUGCUCCACAAGGCCUCACUCACAGGCGUGUGACUUGGCCAUGUGGCAUAAGUCAGUAUACCCUACAGGUUUGGCACGACCUAGCACACGGCCUUGCACAUAGACGUGUAUGGCCAUUUUUAGGGCACACGGGCGUGUGUAUUGGCUGUGUGACCCAAGUCAAAGAGUUACACGGGGUCGGAUACAGGAUGGGACAUGGCCAUGUGCUCCCAUUUCGAAUGUCCACACAGACUGUGACACAGGCAUAUUUGUUGGCCGUGUACACACGGGCAUGUGUCCCCUGUUUUGAGAAAAAAUUCUUAAAUGUUCUAUAAGUUUACAAAGUUAUCGGCUUAGUCUCGAACCUUUACUAAAGCAUGUUUAGGGCCUUCUGUGCUCGUAUUAGGGACAUUUUGAUUGAGAUUGAAUGAUAAUUGCAUGAAAUGUAAAAAUGUUUGCAAAGUGAAUGUUUAAUUGUUUCAUAAGUCUGGUAAUACUCUGUAACCCUAUUCUGAUGUUGAAUACAGGUAUUCUCGGACUAAUGUAGCGUGUGUAAGAGUCUAGCUAUACAUUCCAUAUACAACCUGUGAUAGUGUGAUGACUCCUGACAAUAUAAAAUAUGUUUUUAUGUAGUAAAUAGAUCCCGAUCGAGCUAUAGUUGAUGUUGCCUAGAGUAACGCACCAGCUCCUACUCAAGGGGCAGCACCUUCUGAAUCUAGAAAUAUAUCGGCUAGUUACGGAGGAAAGGCUAAGGAAGCCUUUUUCGAAAUGAUGAAUGAAUGGUUCAUACAAUUUGUCUGGAAAAAUCUAGUUGCUCAACAACCUCCGCCCCCACCUAAUAUCAACCUAUUCUCGUAACUCCUCAAUUUGUGGAACUUCAACGAAUAAAUAAGCAACCGGUAGAUAAAAUCUAAAAACACGGGGUUGAAUAGUUCAGAUCUACCAUUGAUGAUGAUCCCAAGCGAGCUGAAUUUUGGCUUGAAAACACUAUUCGGGUAUUUAAUAAAUUGUCGUGUACGCCAGCUGAGUGUUUGAAAUGUGCUAUUUUAUUAUUGAGGGACAUUGCGUAUCAAUGGUGGAAUACUUUAUUGUUUGUGGUACCUGAUAAACCGUAAUUGAUACAUAUUUCUAUCCCAUGCUUAGCACACUUUAUGGAUGAUUUUUCCUUAAAAUUGGUGAAUUUGAUGCUCCUAAUGCCUUAAUUUCAUGUUUUAUACUUAGGUGAGCAUAGAAGAGUGAAAGGAACGAGAAACGGGCCAAAAACGAAGAAAAUGGGCCAACGUACAAAAUUAACACGGCCUGGACUUCCUCACAUGGGUAGACCACAAGGCCAUUGGAAAUUUCAAAGCACGAUUUACAUGGGUAGAUCACACGCCCAUGCCUAUUUAACAGGCUUGACCACAGCCUGAAGUAAUGACACACGGGCAUGUCCCUGCCAAGCCCAAGUUUAGUCCAAUUCAGAAAAGGCCAAUUUUGAGGGAUCUUAGGCAUUCCAAAGCCUAUUUAAACACCUGAGGAGACACUUAGACAGGGGAGGCACAAGAAGGAGCAAGGAAUUGCUCAAAGAAAGCCGAUCGAUCCAUCUUAGAAGCCGGAUUCACCAUCAAGACUGAAGAUGUCCCUUCAAAUUCCCCUAGGAGUUUUGGGUUUUCUUAUGUUUUGUUAUUUUUAUUCUUUUGAGAUGUUUUCUUUCAUUAAUAUGAACUAAAACUCCUAAAUACCUAAGGGGGAUGAAACCUAAGACGGAUCUUGUUAUUAUUAUCUGAAUUCUAUGAUAAAUAUUUGACUUGUUCUUAAUUAUGGGUUCUUAAUUCUUAUUUUGAUAUUCCAAGAUAUUAAUUCAAGUUAAGCUCUUAUUCAGAGGAGGAAUAGACCCUGUCUAAGAGUAAAUUUAUCAUAAUUAAGCGGAGUUGGUUGCGCGCCUAGAGAUAGGGUGACAAGAUUUUGCCAACUUAGGGUGAAACCUAAUAACGGGAUCCAUAGAUUGAGUUAAUGCAACCCUAGGGCAUUAAUUAGAAAGAGAUUUCAAUUAUUCAAACUAGGGUUAGACGUUGUUGUCUCGAGAGAGAUAAUAAUAUAACUUAGGGAUCUCUACGGAACAAGUUGAAUGAAUAAAUCGUCCGAUUCAGAGUCAAAUAACAAGUGAAGUCUAGGUGGAUUUUUCCUUUGGUAUUAUCUUAAUCAAUCAAGUUUUCCAAAAAGUAUUUCCCCAAAUUUCUUUUCUGUGAUUUCUUAGUUUAAAUAAUUAGUUAGAUAAACAAAACCCUUUUAUUUUUUAGGCUAAAUAAUAAAAAGAAAGUUGAUACUAGUACUUUUAGUUCCUUUGGGAUCGAUAAUCUGGUCUUGCUAAAGUUAUACUACUGUUCGAUAGGUACACUUGCCUUUAUCGUGAUAAUAGUUAGUUUCAAGAACAAUUCAUUAUAAAUAUUUAAAACCUGUCACGAAUAUCACGUUUCAAGUUUUUGGCACCGUUACUGGGGAACUAAGAUAUUAGGAACACUCGAUUUUUAUUACUUUAGCCAUUUACUUUUACUGCAAUUUAAAUUUUAUUCUAAAUUUAUUCUAAUUUUAUUACUAAUUCUUCUUUUUCCCUUUUUUUCUGGCAAGUUCUUAUAGUUUAUGACUAGAAGAAAUGUGACAGCCCUAAAUUGACCCUAGUCGAAAAGUGGUUUCGGGACCACGAAACUGAGUCUUAUAAGUAAUUAAAAGUUAUAUUCUGUGUUUAUGAUGUGAGUAAAUGCAUGUGUGAAAGUUUCAUGCAUUAAUUUGAUCAUUUUUAUGUGAAUUUAUUAAAAUGGACUUAUAUGAAACAUUGUUGGAAAGUGAUAGGUUAAUCUUACAAUGGUCUAUUAGUACAUGCAUUGAAAAGAGUGGUUUUGCAUGUCAAUUUACCCAUAAUAAACAUAGUGGCCGGCCAAGAAAUGACAAUGCUUCACUAAUUCAAAUUUAAAAUAAUUUUAUAGUAACAAAUGAUUUAAUAAUUGGAAUAAAAUGAAUUAAAUAAAAGAGAAGAAAGAGGAAGGUGUUCAUCUUCUCCUCCUACCUCUCUCAAAGCCGAAAAAAAAAAAGAAAAAGGAAGGGAAAAAUUUACCUAGAGCAAUUCGGCAUUCAUCUUUGGCUAUUAGGAGGUAAGCUUUGAAUUUGUUGAUUUGGUUUCAUAAUAUGCUAAGUUAAAUUGUGGAUGCACUCUUGGUAAUGUCAAGAAAGUUGAGAUUUCUUAUGGUGAUUUGGGCAAUAUGCCGAAUGAUUAAGUGUUAGAAUUAGAGGUUAUUUUCAUGUCGUAUGGAACAAUAGGGGAAUGACUAGAAUGGGGUAAAGAUUUUUGGGAUGAGUAGUAGUUUAGAGGCACCUUGUACAUUCGGUCAAAAAUUGAGCUUAUUUAGAAUGUUGAUUUCUUCCUCUAUGAUUAUUUUCCUUGUAUGUUAAAUGGUUCUUGAUAGGGGCGAAUGUGUUAUGAAAGUUUUUAUACAUGUAUGAAGUUCAAGGUGCAGAAAUUUUAGUCUUGAUGUUAUGAAUAAUUCGGUUGAAAUAUGAAGAAUGGGAGUUGUCAUUUAGGUUAAGAUCAAAGGAAUGAUAAAUAGGCACUAAAAGGUUGAAUGUGUGAAAUUUAAGGUAUAAGAACCUAUAGGUAAUUACAUAGGUAAUGUUCAAAAAAAAAAUUAAUGUGGUAUAUUCGGCCAUGUAGAGUAUAUCCUAAAGAUAAUAUAUUUAAUUCCCUAUAAUCGGCUAAAUGGGUGAUAAUGGUUUGUAAUGUUGAAUUGAAUUAUGAUUAUGUACGUUAGAAUUAGAUAUAACAAAAAACUAUGUGAAUUUGGAUGAAUAUGAAUUAUGUAUAUACGUUAAGGUCAAUGACUUUUCUAAAUGACGGUAUAUAUGAUAUUAUGUUUUAAAUAUGUGAAUGAGAACCUUACAGAGUAAAUUGUAUAAAUCUGCUAGGGACAGCAGCAGUAGCGUGUUUUGGAAAAAUUACCAUAAAUUGUGGGAGUUGAGUUAAAGGCUGAAUAAACUAUGUAAUUAAAGCUUGAUGCGUCUAGUUUCGUAUAAAAGAAAUUGUGUAAGUAAAGGGGUUGCCGAUAAUGAGAUUUUCAAAGUUGUGUGAGACAAAGUCAGAAUGGCUCCGAAAUUCCCUAUUCAGUAUUUGGAAAAUCAUUAUAAAUCGUACAAAAAUGAUUAUAAGACAAAAUUAUAUGCUUAGACUCCUUAAUGAGUCUAGUUUCAAACAAAAUAGACGAAAACAUAUUUUGAAUUCUGUACAAUGAGAAAUUAAAUUCUUAGUGAAGAGUAGUCAGAGUAGUCAAGCAGUAAAACAGGGGAAACUUUAAGAAAAAUCUGGUAUUGAUUGGCCAAACCAAAAAUUCUGAAAAAUUUUGUGGAUAGAGGAUAUACAAGUCUAUUUUCAUGGAAAAUUAACGGCACAUAAUUUGGAAUUUCGUAGCCCCAGUUACAAAUAAUUUAACGACUGUUGCUCAGGAAAACAGCUUGUAGAGGAUUUGUGGUUAUGUUGUAAACAUGGAUAAAACUUGUUUUAGUUGCUCAUAAGCUAUUGAUUAAACCCAUACGUGAAUUCUAAAUUGUGAUAUUAUAAAAUGAUAUAUGAGUGUUAGAUGGAUCUUUGAUAUUAAAAUUUGUGAAAUUGUAAGUUUAUAAGUAUUCGAAUAUGAAAUGAUAGUAUGGCAUGAAAUUGAAUUAUUCAUUGGAAAAUGAUAGAUGUAGAUUCAGCCAAGACAAAGUGCAUACAUGAAAGUAUAUGUGGUAUUUUAAGUAUAAUUGUUCAUUUGAUGAAGUUGGCUAAUAGUUCAAGUAAGGAUUUCUCUAUUCGAUAUGUCCAUGAAUUGAGGCAAUGGGUUCGGUAAUUAGCUUAAGACAUUCGGGUAAUAUCACAUGUCCGAUCAUAGUUAAACAUUCGACAGUUAUGAUUCUUCAGCUAUAAUGUUUGAAUAUCACUAUGGAAAAAAUAUAUAUAUAUGAUCGGUUGCCUAUUAUUUAGUUUGAAAUGAAUCUUAAUAAAUAGGUAUUCGUAUAUAGUAAAAUUGGACAAGUAAUUGAAUAAAUUUAUUUGUUUUAUUAAGCUCAAGAGCAUAGAGGAUCUAAAUCAGAUAAAGGAAAAGAGAAAGUAGUUGAAUAGCCUAUCCUCAACCGUUCUAAUAUACCGAGGUAAGUCUCUAAGUAAUUAAACCUAAUUUGAGUUUUGAUUAAUGGAUACUAUUAUAAAAAUGGCUAAAUUGAAAAAUAUGAUGUGGCCAUGAUAUGUGAUAAGGCCGAAUGGCCAAUGUGAUGAAUGUGGAAGUGCAUACAUGUGAUAAGGCCGGAUGGUUAAUGUGAUAUAUGUGUACGUGAAUAUGUGAAAAGGCCGAAUGACCAAUUGUGAAAAGUGUGCAAUAUUAGAUAUUUAAUGAGGCCAAAGUUAGUAAAAAAAAUAAUAAAUAUAUAUUAUAUGAAUUGUGCUGAGAUUGUAUCUGGGUUAGAGACCCGCUGGCUUCAUGCUGGGAUUGUAUCCGGGUUUAAAGUCCCGCAGGCUUAAUGCUGGUGAAUUAAGUAAGAUUAUGAUCUUGAAUGUUCGCAGUGAGCUACCACCAAGUAAGUACUAUACAUUUAAGAGGUUCAGAUACAUAUUACCUCCUCAUUUGUAAGUUUACCUCAAAGUGAAUCACUAGCAUUCAAGAAAAACGUAUAUGUGAUUGAUCAUUAUAUUGCAAAAAUGAGGAUGACCUAAUCAAUCUUGGUAUGCUUGUAUAAUGUAGUAUAUACUAAGCUUUCAUGUAUGUACUCGUAUACAUUCGGCCAAUGAUUUGGUGAAUUAUUAGUAUUAAAGAACGAUACAUAUGUGGGAAUGAUUAUUAUAUCUUUGAAUAAGGGAAUAAUCUAUUCGGUCAAUGGUUGUUAGUAUGACAAAGUGUUUGAUUUAAAUUUAUCGUAUGAGCUUAAGUAAAGAAAAGUAUGUGCUGAGAUUUAUAUAUGUAAUUGUGCAUAUUCGGCCAAGAAGGCCCUAUAAAUUGAGAAUAAAUUGUAUUCGGCUAGAUGUACAAAUGCAAGGGAAGGAUUGUAUUUUGUCAACCUACGUAUAUGUGGUAAGGUUUAUGUUUGAUUCUUUGCGUACCCAUGCUGUAAUUCAAUACAUGCCACGUUGAAAUACUCGAAAGUUUUGAUGCGAUUAUGAAAUAAGGAAUUAAGUUUUAUAUAUAUAUAUAUCCAUGUAUGUGCAUGAAACGAGUACGUUUGAGCAAGUGAUUAUGAUUAUUGAAAGAGUAUAUGUUAUGCUAAAUGAGUAGUGACUCUAUGAAUCUAUUCACGAUAGAUUAUGAUAUUACUAUGUGCUUCUAAAUAGGGAAACUAAACGUGGUAAAAGUAUUAUAUUUUAGUUUGAUUGAUUGAAUUAGAAGUAGAUAGGAGGUUUCUAGAUGCGAAAGACUAUGUGAAUCAAAUUUGGAAGAAAUAGGUAAACUAUAUAUGCAUGCAUGAGGUUUGAACUAAUUGAUGUAAUGGUGAGAUCUCUUGAUAUUGUUAAAUGGGGUUUCUACAAGGUCUAAGACGAUGAGGCUUAGUAAUGAAACGACAGUUAAGAUGUUCAGUACAUUAAGUUGGCCAGGUAAGUAUCAGGUACUUGUAUGUGAUUUUCAAUUCGGAUUAGAUCAAAAGUAUACAAAGCGAUGCAUAUGUGAAUAAGUGUAUGAAUACAAAUGUGACCACAGUCCAUGUGACUAUGAUACAUUUGGCCAAUGUGUUAUGCCAUAAGAAUGUAUUCGAUUAAACUAUAAUAGAGACAUUUAGAUUGGAGUGUAAUUAUGAGCUAAGUGUGCCUUGUGAGCAUACGAAUAUUUGACCAUUUUGGUCAUUAUCAUGAAAUAAUUUGUGGUAACUAAAUGAUGUGGUUAUUGAAAUUAUAGUUCGUUAUGGAGCUCUAGAUUGACUUCAUUUAUUAGAAAAAAUCGAGUGAUAAAUGAUAAUUGAAUUUGAUUCUGCAAAAUUAUUGUUUUACUUAAGACUUACUAAGCUUAUGUAAGCUUACUCCAUUUGUCUUUUGUCUUUGUUUUAUAGAUUGUGGACUCUGAUUACCAGCUCGGGGAUCGUCAGCACUUCAUCACACUAUCUACUAUUAUGGAAACCUUGUGAUUUGGAUUUAGCUUAUGGCAUGUAUAGGAUAUAUUAUACUAGAAUGGUAUCAUAACUAUUGUUUAUAAGCCAUGCGAAUAUGGCAUCCUUUGGAAGUCUACUUUUAUGAGUUAUAAGUUUGAUCUUUGUUUGUGUUUAGAAAUUUAAUUAAAUGAACAAUCUUUAUUCACGAAAGAAAAAAAAUGUUCAAAAUUUUACUGUUUUGAUCUACUUCCAAAAUUGUCUGGUAACGCCUCGUCCGAUUCCGGCGACGGUUACGGGAUAGGGGUGUUACAAGAAACCUGUCAGGACCAUUACUUUUUGACAGUGAGAUCGAUCGCACAGUUUGCAGAAACCAAAGAGAAAUAAGGCGAAGCUUAAGAUACACAGAGAACGAGCAAAAGAACGAUAUUCAAAUGACAACCGAGGAGAUGGCUAAAAACCAAGAAAAUCCGCUACCUCCUGCGAUUACUGUAAAUCAGAAUCCUACUCCACGCACUAUGUAUGAUUAUGCUAAACCUAAUUUAACAGGAACUGAGUCAAGUAUAGUUAGACCUGCUAUUGCUGUAAAUAAUUUUGAACUGAAACCUAACACAAUUUAAAUGAUAUAACAGUUUGUUCAGUUUGAUGGUUUGUAGGACGAGAAUCCCAAUGCUUUCUUGGCAAAUUUCCUAGAAUUUUGUGAUACCUUUAAAAUUAAUGGUGUUUCUAUUGACACCAUCCGCCUUCGGUUGUUUCCCUUUUUGUUAAGGAAUAAGGCUAAACAAUGGUUGAACUCAUUACCACGAGGGUCAAUCACUAUUUGGGAACAAAUGACUGAAAAGUUUUUAUGAAAAUAUUUUUCGCCGGCUAAAAUAGCUAAAUUAUGUAAUGAUAUCUCUUCUUUUGUGCAGAUGGAUUUAGAAACACUCUACGAUGCAUGGGAGAGAUACAACGACCUUUUGAGAAGGUGCCCUCACCAUGGGUUACCGCUUUGGCUACAAGUUCAAAAGUUUCAUAAUGGCCUGAAUCCUUCGACUUAGCAGAUGUAUGAUGUAGCUGCUGGAGGAACCGUCAAUAAUAAGACACCUGAAGAUGCCUAUGAAUUUAUAUAGGAGAUGUCACUGAAUAACUAUCAGUGGCAAGUCAUGAGGACAAAGCCAAUGAAAAUAUCCGGCGUUUAUAAUGUCGAUUCGGUUACCAUGCUCUCUAAUCAGGUAGAACUCUUGAAUAAGAAAAUUGAUGGUUUUCUUACUUCUUCACAGGUUCACCCAGUAAUGUAGUGCGAAAUAGAUGGAGGUGGAUUGAGCAAUUUAGAAUACCCACCUUAUGGCCACAACAUGGAGAACGAGCAAUUAAAUUACAUGGGUAAUAAUUCUCGAUCUCAAAACAAUCCUUAUAGCAAUACUUACAAUGCAGGUUGGAGGAAUCACCCAAAUUUUUCAUGGGGAGGCCAAGGAAAUUAGAAACCACCACCCCCUCCAGGCUUUCAGCAACUAUCAUACCAGCAGAAGAAAAAGCUAAACCUUGAAGAGAUGCUAACCAAAUUAAUGUCGAUGUUAGAGACUCAUUUUUAGAAUACCAAGACGGUACUCAAAAAUCAACAAGCAUCAAUCUAGGGGCUCGAAACUCAGAUUGGAUAGCUUGCCAAGUUGAUUUCCAAACGACCACAAGGUAGCCUGCCAAGCAACACUGAAUCAAACCCAAGGGAGCAACUCAACGCAAUUGCCCUUUAAGAUAAGGAAGGGUUAGUGGCAAAACCAAGGCCAGAACCGGUGGUAAGCAAAGGAAAGAAUGACGUAGGCCAAAACAAACAAAAAUCAGUAAGUACAGGAUAUAAACCUCGAGUGCCAUACCCCAAUACGACAAGGAAAGACUGCUCAGAUGAACAAUUUGGUAAAUUCCUUACACUUUUAAAGAAACUACAUAUUAACCUACCGUUUAUUGAAGCACUUUCGCAAAUGCCGAAUGCAAUCAAAUUUUUAAAAGAGCUUCUAGCAAAUAAAAGAAAGUUAGAUGAAAGGUCACGUGUGGAGCUGAAUGCGGUUUGCUCAGCCAUUCGUCAGAAUAAGCUACCCAACAAACUAAAAGAUCCAGGGAGUUUUACAAUUCCUUGUUUAAUUGGUAGUUUAGAUGUUAAUAAUGUGUUGGCUGAUCUAGGAGCUAGUAUCAAUGUUAUGCCUUACAAAUUGUUUAAGCAACUAGGUCUAGGGAAACCCAAACAAACUAGGAUGAGCAUUCAAUUAGCAGAUAAAACUGUCAGAUUUCCUAGGGGCAUCAUUGAAAAUGUAUUCGUUAAAAUUGAAAAAUUUAUAUUCCCAGUUGAUUUUGUUGUUUUAGACAUAGAAUAAGAUAGUAACGUUCCUUUAAUUUUGGGAAGGCCCUUUUUAGCAACUACUAGAACAAUUAUUGACGUUGGCACAAGUGAACUCACACUUCGUGUAGGAGACGAAACAAUCACCCUUCAAGCUCACAACCCGAACAACACAUCAAAAAUUGAAGGUGAUUGUACAAAUUGUUCUACUAAGAUUGAUCAUAUGGUGCAACCUAUUUUGCAGGAAAUAAGUUCGAAAGACACACAUGAGCCAUGUUCAAUCCACAACAAAGGAUCUAUACAUGAAGAACGAAUGUUACAAAUCGAGGAGUUAGAUGAAUGGCUAAAAUUUAAAUCGAGAAAGCACGAUAUACCAAAACUACACCAGAACGAGCUCAAUGCCUCACCAAAACAACUUAAGGUUGGAGAUAAAGUUUCAUUAGAUGCCGCAAAUCCUCAUAUUGAAACUGCCAAACCAAAUGAAGAAAUUCCUCUUACGGUAACUAGCAUUUUUCCAUACAGUACGGUCGAGGUAAAUCACCCCAAAUUCAGCACGUUCAAGGUAAAUAGUACUCGUCUUAAACCUUAUGUUGAUAAAAUUUAUAGCAGGAAUGAGGAGUAUAAACUCCUCGAACCACCAUGACCAUUCACCAGAAAGGUAAGUCGAGCUUAGACUAUAAAUAAGCGCUUCUCGAGAGGCAACCCGAGCACUAACAAUAAUACUUUCUUUAAAUUUUAGUUUUUAAAAUCUAACAUACUAACCAAAUCAUUGAACACAGGCUUUUCAGAACCACACGGUCAGGCACACGGGCGUGCUGUAGGCCGUGCACAUACCAUGGGAUGCAACACGAUCGUGCGAUACAGUCGUGUGAAAAUAGGGCAAAAUUUUUUUCCCCAACAUGGGAUGCGAUAAGUAGCCACGGCCGUGUGACCUAGCCGUAGGCGAAACUGCCAAAAUAACACGGGCGUGCAACACGCCUGUGUUUUGAAACCGUGGGUAAACCUGUCAAUGUAACACGGGCGUACGCCUGCAUACACGGGCGUGGGAGAAGCGAAUGAAAAUUGACACGGCUGUGCAACAUGGUCGUGUACACCAAUGCGCCUAAUUUCGAAAACUACGAAACGCACAGGCUGAGAUUAGAGCACAAGGGCAUGCCCCAUGGCCAUGUGCCCCAAUUUCUCUAUAAACAACUAUUAUUUAUUUUAUUUUAUUUUUAUCUCUAUAUUUUGAAAUUAUUAUUUUUUAUUUCCUUUUAAUACUAUUUUAUCCUGAGUUUUUACAAUUUUUAUUCUUCGGCUAUUUCACUAUGAGUAAUUAUGCUUCAGUAUACCUCUUAAAGAGUUCCUAAUUUUAUCACAGUCAGAAAGAGCUCCAAAGCUCAUCCUCACAUAGGAACUAAAAACUCCCCCAGGAAAGGUUCUCCACGACUACCAUGUCCUGCUCGACCACAACCAUAGCUACCACUAGAUAUAAUAUUCUUUUGGUGCAGGACUUAUAGAUUAAUGAACCUCUACCACCACCGAAGUAUCCUUCUCCACUCUCACGCCGAUUAUCCUCCAAAACUCCAGUUCAAGGAAUUCAUUCAUCAUUCAGGAAGUUUCACUUCUCUCCCUAUCCUAUGAUUAUCCUCCAAAUCUUUGUACAUUGAGGGCGAUGUACAUCUUAAGUGUGGGGGGUCUUUUAUAUCAUUAUUAGAAAUCCCUGAAUUGUGUCUUAUUCUCAUGUAAAUCAUUUAUAUCACUAUUAGAAUGAAUUUUACUUAAUUUAUGAUUUUUAUUGAUAUGUCUUGAAUUAAAACAUAGGCAUUUGUGCAUUGAGUGUUUAAACUUUAAGACAUUAGGGAAUCAAGCAUGAUAAGUUGAUUUUUGAAGAAUUAAAAACUUUUAGGUUGUUUUUCCCAAGUUUAGGUAUUAUCUUGAGUUGAAAUUCACAGGUUUAAACAUAAAAAAGCCAUAAUUUUUGUGAGAUUUUGAGCCUUGAGAGCAUCUAUCAUUUCUUUCAUGCUCACUUUUAUUGUUGCUUUGAGUGCGUCAGUAUUGAAUUGUUAUUCUAGAACUUGCUUGCUUAUGCAUGUCAAGACCACACCAUUUGAGUUGAUAUGUCAAAAUGAUAAAGGCCUACCUUCAUAAUUAACCCUUAGUGAACCCCUUUGAGCCUAACAAUCCAUUAAUUGAUUUACCCUCAAUAUUAACCCAUAAACCAUUAUUGUUGAAAUCCCCUAAUUUGAUCCCUAUUUUUGUCGAGAUUUGAUUUGAACUAAUUGCUUAGUUAUGUUUUGCUCUUCUAUGUAGCUUACUUGUUCUUAAAAAAAAUUCAUACUUACAUAUUUGUAGUAAUUCAGUAUUGUUGAGCCGCAGUAUCUAAAUUUCAUCUUCUGAGAAUAAGCUCACUUGUACUCAAUUGAUGUUUAAUUACUUUUUCUAGUUAGGCAAUUUUUCAAUUCAAUCUCGAUUCUAACCUUUUCUUUCAGCUUGUGACCACACUCCCUAACCAAAGCCACGUUACAACCUUCUAAAUACCUUUUGAUUGAUGUUUCAUCAACAUCAAUCUCAAUUUAUAGUGGUAGAGAUUUGAUUUUCAUGCAAGCCUAUGGUAAUGACUUUUCAUUAUUGACUAUUGAGUGCUUCAUUUAUUGUCCUUAAACACCUCAAGUGAUUUGAGUGAAUCUUUAGUGAGGAUAUGAAACUCUGUGAUAUUUUGAAUCAAAGGUAAUUACUUAGACGAUGGGAGACACCUAUGUUUUCAUAAUAAAAUGCUUAACUUGGAAUGUUUGAAACUUUGAUGUUUUUUCAGUUGAAUUUUCAAUGUAUGAUUACCUAUGAAUUAUUUUGAGAUGUUAUCAAUAGAAAUUAUAAGUUGAGAAGAAUUUAUUUUGAUUAUGAGUUGAGGAUUUUGCUUGAGGACAAGCAAAUGCUUAAGUGUGGGGGUAUUUUAUAAACCAUAAUUUAUACAUAUUUCUAUCCCAUGCUUAGCACACUUUACGGAUGAUUUUUUUCCUUAAAAUUGGUGAAUUCGAUGCUCCUAAUGCCUUAAUUUCAUGUUUUAUACUUAGGUGAGCAUAGGAGAGUGAAAGGAACGAGAAACGGGCCAGAAACAGAGAAAAUGGACAAAUGUACGAAAUCAACACGGCUUGGACUUCCUCACACGGGCAGACCACAUGGCUGUGUCCCUUUGGCAAGGUCAAAGCACGAUUUACACGGGUAGAUCACACGCUCGUGCCUAUUUAAUAGGCUUGACCACGGCUUGAAAUAAUUGCACAUGGGCGUGUCCCUGCCGAACCCAAGUUUAGUCCAAUUUAGAAAAGGCCAAUUUUGAGGGCUCUUAGGCAUUCCAAAGCCUAUUUAAACACCUGAGGAGGCACUUAGACAGGGGAGGCACAGGAGGGAGUAAGGAAUUGCUCAAGGAAAGCCGAUCGAUCCAUCUCAGAAGCCAGAUUCGUUAUCAAGACUGAAGAUCUCCCUUCAAAUUCCCCCAUGAGUUUUGGGUUUUCUUAUGUUUUGUUAUUUUUAUUCUUUUGAUAUGUUUUCUUUCAUUAGUAUGAACAAAAACCCCUAAAUACCCAAGGGGGAUGAAACCUAAGAUGGAUCUUGUUAUUAUUAUCUGAAUUGUAUGAUAAAUAUUUGACUUGUUCUUAAUUAUGUGUUCUUAAUUCUUAUUUUGAUAUUCCAGGAUAUUGAUUCAAGUUAAGCUCUUAUUCAGAGGAGGAAUAGACCCUGUCUAAGAGUAAAUUUGUCAUAAUUAAGCCGAGUUGGUUGCGUGCCUAGAGAUAGGGUGACAAGAUUUUGCCGGAUUAGGGUGAAACCUAAUAACGGGAUCCAUAGAUCGAGUUAAUGCGACCCUAGGGCAUUAAUUAGAAAGAGAUUUCAAUUAAUCAAACUAGGGUUAGACGUUUUUAGUCUCGAGAGAGAUAAUAAUAUAACUUAGGGAUCUCUACGGAACAAGUUGAAUGAAUAAAUCGUCCGAUUCAGAGUCAAAUAACAAGUGAAGUCUAGGUGGAGUUUUCCUUAGGUAUUGUCUUAAUCAAUCGAGUUUUUCAAAAAGUAUUUUCCCCAAAUUUCUUUUCUGUGAUUUCUUAGUUUAAUUAAUUAGUUAGAUAAACAAAACCGUUUUAUUUUUUAGGCUAGAUAAUAAAAAGAAAGUUGAUACUAGUACUUUUAGUUCCUUUGGGUUCGAUAAUUCGAUCUUGCUGAAGCUAUACUACUGUUCGAUAGGUACAUUUGCCUUCAUUGUGAUAAUAGUUAGUUUCAAGAACGAUUCAUUAUAAAUAUUUAAAACCUAUCACGAAUAUUACGUAUCAGUACCAAGAGAAAGAGUGACUUGGGAAUUCUUUCAAACUGAGUUCUAGAAGAAAUAUAUAAGUCAGAGAUUUCUCGAUCAAAAGCACAAAGAGUUUCUAGAAUUGAAACAGGGUUGAAUGACUGCGACCGAGUACGAAAGAGAAUUUGUAUGGUUGAGCAAGUAUGUUCAGGAGUAUGUUUCUACUGAAGAAAUCAUGUGCAAGCGACUCGUCGAUGGUUUGAACGAGGACAUUAAACUUCUAUUCGGAAUUCUAGAAUUAAAAGAAUUUGUUGUCCUAGUUGAUGAGCUUGCAAAGACGAGGAGCUUAGCAAAGAAAAGAGAAAAACAGAUUCAGAGGCUAGAGAUUCAAGAAAAAAGUCGAUGAAUAAGUCAUAUCAAUCUUCAUCAAAGAAAUUUAGAGAUUCAUUAAUUUGUCCAAAUGUUUCAAUCGGGCAUUCGAGCAAAGAUCGUGGAAAACAAUUCUCAAGUUCUGAAGCUCAAGCUACAUCGGUAUCGAGUGUUGACAGUGUGAGAAAUUAUAGACCUAAAUUUCAGCAAUAUGGAAGACAACAUCCUGGUGAAUGUAGAAUGAACAAUCGGGCUUGUUUUAAAUGUGGUUUACAAGUUCAUUUUAUACGGUAUUGCCAAGAACUAGUAGAGAAAGAUAAUAUUGAAAAUGCAAGACCAAGUAACAUAGUCACUAGGGGGAGGCCACCAAGAAAUGAGGGAAAUACUAGUGGUAACCGCAAUAUUAUAAGAGAUUGUACAGUAAGAUCUGAUGCCAGUGCACCUAUUAGAGGUUAUCCUAUUCGCGCUCGUGAAGAGGCGUUGUCACCCGAUAUUAUCACUGGUACAUUUUCUCUUUAUGACACUAAUGUUAUUGCAUUGAUUGAUCCUGGAUUGACUCAUUUGUAUGUUUGUGAGAAUUUAGUGUCUAGUAAGAGUUUGCCUGUUGAGUCUACUGAGUUUGUAAUUAAAGUAUCGAACCCCUUAGGCAAGUAUGUGCUAGUUGAUAAAGUUUGCAAGAACUAUCUUUUAAUGACUCAGGGUUAGCUAGUUAUUAUCGAUGUUUUGUUAAGGGAUUUUUCAUGAUUGCUACACCGAUUACCAGAUUGCUACAAAAAGAUAUGAAAUUUGAGUGGUCUGAGAAAUGUCAACAGAGUUUUGUUCAGCUGAAAGCAUUGUUAACCAAGGCACCAGUGUUGGUUCAACCUGAGUCAGGUAAAGAAUUCGUGAUUUAUAGCGACGUGUCAUUGAAUGGUUUGGGUUGCGUUUUGAUGCAAGAAGGAAAAUUUAUAGCUUAUGCCUCCAGACAGUUGAAGCCGCAUGAAAAGAAUUAUUUGACCCAUGAUUUAUAGUUGGCUACUAUUGUGUUCGCAUUGAAAAUUUGGCGAAAUCAUUUGUAUAGUGAUAAGUGUCAUAUUUUUACCGAUCACAAAAGUUUAAAGUAUAUAAUGACUCAGAAAGAUUUGAAUUUGCGACAAAAGAGAUGGCUCGAGCUAUUGAAUGAUUAUGAUUUAGUAAUUGAUUAUCAUCCGGGGAAAGCAAAUGUAGUCGUAGAUGCUUUGAGUAGAGAAUCUCUAUUUGUUUUGAGAGCGAUGAAUACAAGAUUGACUUUGUCUGAUGAUGGUUUGAUUCUAGCAGAGUUGAAAGCUAAACCAGUUUUUCUUUAGCAAAUUUGUGAAGCUCAAAAGUGUGAUACCGAGUUACAAGCUAAAAAAGUGCAAGGUGAGUUGAUUAGUGAUUCGGACUAUCAGAUCAGAGUCGAUGAUUGCUUAAUGAUCCGAAAUAGAAUCUGCGUACCAAAGAAUUCUAAGCUUGUUCAAAAAAUUCUGCACGAAGCAUAUAAUGGUUGUUUAUCUAUUCACUCGGGGAGUACCAAAAUGUACAAUGAUUUGAAACAAUUUUCUUGGUGGUUGGGUAUGAGACGAGACAUUCCAAAGCUUGUAUCGAGAUGUUUGGUUUGUCAGCAAGUUAAAGCUGAACAUCAAGUGCCAUCGGGAAUACUACAGCCUGUGAUGAUACCAGAGUGGAAGUGAGAUAGAGUUACGAUGGAUUUCGUAUAGAGUUUGCCUCUGUCUUCGAAAAAGAAAGAUACUAUUUGGGUUGUCGUUGAUCGAAUGAAAAAAUUAGCACAUUUCAUUCUGGUACAUACUGAUUAUUCGCUUGAUAGAUUGGUUGAAUUGUACAUAUCUCAAAUAGUUAGAUUAUACGAGGUGCCAUCUUUGAUUAUUUCAGAUAGAGAUCCAAGGUUUACAUCACGAUUUUGGAAGAAAUUGCAAGAAUCUCUGGGUACGAAUUUGAAUUUUAGUACAGCAUUUCAUCCGCAAAUUUACGAUCAGUCUGAGACAGUAAUUCAGAUUCUUGAAGAUAUGCUUCGAGGUUGUGUUUUAGAGUUCAAAGGUAACUGGGAGAAAUAUUUGUCAUUGGUUGAAUUCACGUAUAACAACAGCUAUCAAUCAAGUAUGAAAAUGGCACUGUACAAAGCUUUUUAUGGUCACAAAUUUUGAACCCCGUUGUACUGGACUGAGUUAAGCGAGAAGAAGAUUCACGAGGUUGAUUUGAUCCAAGAGACUAAAGAAAAAGUGAAAGUAAUUCGCAAUAGAUUAAAAGUAGCUUCAGAUCGACAGAAAUCAUAUGCGGAUUUGAAACAAAAAGACAUUGAAUUUCAUAUCAGAGAUAAAGUAUUUCUAAAAGUAUUUCCGUGGAAGAAAAUCCUUCGAUUUGGUCACAAAGGCAGAUUAAGUCUGCGUUUCAUUGGGUCGUAUGAGAUCAUUGAAAGAAUAAGGCCAGUAGCAUAUCAGCUAGCUUUACCGACUAAGUUAGAGAAAAUCCACAAUGUGUUUCAUGUGUCAAUGUUGCGUCAAUACGGAUCGGAUCCUUCACAUGUAAUUUCUCUGGCAGAGAUUGAAAUUCAACCCGAUAUGACAUAUAUGAAAGAUCCGAUCAGAAUUCUAGCUCGAGAGGUUAAACAGUUGAGAAAUAAAAGCAUAGCUUUAGUAAAAGUCUUGUAGCAAAGUCACGGGGUUGAAGAGGCUACGUGGGAGCCUCAGGAAGCUAUAAGAAAAUAGUACCCUAACCUAUUCACUGGUAAGAUUUUUGGGGAUGAAAAUCCCUAAGGGGAGGAGAGUGGUAACAACCCAUUUUUAGUCAAAUCAGAAUAGUGGUUUCAGGACCAUAAAUUUGAAGUCAAAAUAAUUAUUUUAUUAUUAUUUUAAUGUCUACAGCAUGAUAAUAUGUUUGUGUGAAAAUUUCGUUAAUAAAUUUUAUUGUUUGAUUAGUUAAUUUGAGAAAAAGGACUAAAUUGCGUAAAGUGUAAAAGUGGAGUUUCAUUAGUUAAAGGUACUAAAUAGCAAUGGAAUCUUAAAUUAGAGGUCCUUAUGAGUAAUUAGACCAUUUGAAAUAUUAGUGGACAAAUAUGGACAUGCAUUAAGUGUUUUUAAUAGUUUAUACUAAAGGUUAAUUAAGUAAUUUAAAAGUUGAAGUUAAAAUAAGUAAAAUAAAACAAACUAUCAUCUUUGUUUCUUCUUGUUUCAACUAAAACUAGGGCAAUGAAAUACAUUUUUCAUCUCCUUCAUUCGGCCAUGCUAUUAUUGCUUAAUUAGGUAUGGUUUUUGUCCCGUUUUUAAUGAUUUCUGCGUUUUUGAGAUCGUUACAACUAGGUCUAGCUAGCCCAGGGACUAUUUUGCAAAAUUGUUAAAGAUUUUAGUUGUUUUCAUUGAUAAAUACAUGAUUAUUUUGAUGUUUAAUGAUAUAUUAUGAAUGUCUUAUGAUAGCUAUACAAGUUUUAUUAAGUGAUUUUUUGUAAAAAUGCAAAUUAGGGAUUAAAUUGUGAAAUGUGGAAACUUUGUGGUUAAAAUGUGAAAUAAAUGAAAAAUAUGGGUUGUUAGGGUCAUAAUAGUAAUUCGAAUAGCAUGGGUUAGUCUUAGAUUGUAUGAAUUUGUGUUCUAAUGAAAUAAGGACUAAAUUGUAAAAGAUGUGAAAUAUUAGGGGCAAUUGUGUAAAAAUUCCUUAAAGUGAAUUUUGGACUAAAUUGAAUAGAGAGAUGAUUAAAUAAUUUAAUUUUGAUUAUAUUUAGAUCAAGAAAGACGAAAUAUGGACUUAGAUUGGGGAAAGAACAAAGUUACGGAAUAGUUGACUCGUUUUGCCGUUUUAGCAUCCGAGGUAAGUUUGUAUGUAAUAAGUUUUGUUAUAAAUGUAUUUUAAAUGCUUUUAUAUUCCAUAAAAUUUGAUUACGAGACUACGAACAUGUACGGCAAUGAUUCACCAAUGAUUUGGUAUUUGAAAUUCCGGUUGAACCUUAUGUAUAAUUUGGAUACUAGCGACAUGUCAUUAGAGGAUUAUUGUGAUUAUGUGAUCCGGGUGCUGGUCCAGUACAUCCUACCACUGGCUGAGUAUAUUGACAUGUAACACCCAUAACCCGUAUCCGUUGCCGGACUGGGGUUAUGAGGUAUUAACCAGUCAAGUCACAGAUUCAAAUAAUCACAAGAAUAUACUUAAACAAAUUUUUAAGUAAUUUAUUAUUGGUAGGAAUAGUCAAUUUAUUCAUUAACAUCACAUAACCGAAUGUAACAUGGAUUCAACUUAUAUAUUAUACAAAAUAUACAAUUAGCAUUAUACCUCCAUUACAAUCUACAAAUUUAUUCAUAAGUAGAACUCAUAAAAUCAAGUACACCAAAACAUUCCAAUUUCACCAUGUCCUUUUCGGCUCAUUACAGUAGUACAUAUUUCGUCAACUUACCAUAAAUGCUUCUCCUAUAAAUAAAAUGCAUGUAAUUUAUUAAUACAUAACUUGUUAUAACACAAUAUAAGUUCCCUAUCAAUGCAUAAUCAAACAUAUAAUAUAUCAUCAUCAUAUUUAUAUAUACCUUAAGAUAAAAUACAUAUUAGAUCAAUUUCUCAUAUGAAUAACCAUUUAUAACAGCAUUUGCCGAAUCACAUGUUAGGUAUAACAAACUCACAUACUUUUAUCUUAUGAACUAAUUUAUAAUACAUUACUAUAUAAUUUCCAGACCAACUCAUAUUACUAAUUAUACAUCACAAGAAUAAGACAUUAACUAUAAUUAGGCAUACAAUUAAACCUUGUGUAUAUCAUGCCAUGUAAUAACCAUAUUUUAACAAGCUUAUAUUAUGUCCGAACUUAGCUAACAACCUGUAUUACCGAAUUACACAUUAUACAUUAUUUAAAUAAUACUACAUAUUCUUAUUUUUUUUCUAUGUAUACGUUAACAAAAACAACCAUGUAUUCAUCCAAAUCAUUAACCAUUUUCAAAUCAUAGAACCACCUAUCACAAACAUCAUUCCAUUAUAACACUCAACAUCAUAACCAAAAUAAAUUUAAGCAACAACCAAGCCUAACCAAACUCAACAUAAAAGAUUAGCCAUUUUCGCAUGGCUUAGAUUAUACAAACCAAAAUUCUAAUUUUCAAAUCACAUUUCAAUCUAUACAUGCCAUAAUUUAAGUUUAACUUAUAAAGGUACCAAAAUAGCUUAUAGUGUAAUGAACUUUACUGAUAGUCUCCAAGCUCGUAGCUUGACUCCAAAUCUGUAAAACAGAGUAAACAUAAACACACAGAGUAAGCUAUCUUAGCUUAGUAAGCCAUAAGCAAAUAAACAGCUCAAAAAUAUAUUCAACCCUUUUUAAGCUAAACCAAAUUAUAUUGUCAUCACGAAUGCUUAACCUUAAACCUACAAAUGAGAUACAAUAAUAUAUUUCCAUGUACCAUUUUUUUCUCUUUUUUUUUUACCUUGGCCGAAUACUCAUUUAAACUAAUUAACCAAAUGUCAUUCAACUUUUAGGUCAAAAUAUCACCAUAUAAUCACGCAUAUUUAUACCAUUUAAAUAAGUUCAAGAAUCAUAAUAUGACAUUUUACACACAUAUUUCUUAUUUGGCCAAAUACUCAUAUAGCCACUUUAUCAUAUUAAUAAUCAACUUACAAAGCCAAAUAGACAUAUUAAAACUUAGUACAUAUUCACUCAAGUACAUAAACUCAAGUAUCGAAAUAAUAUUUCAUAUACAUAUAUUAAUGAUAUAACCGAAUAUACCUCAUCAUAUAUACACAUAUAUAAGGGUUAUUCAUGACAUACAAAUUACUCAUUCAAUAAACCAAAUACACAUAUCACAUACACAUAUUUUCUUUAUUUGCAUCUUACAAGAUUUGUAACAAAUAACCAAGGUGUUUUCUUAAGUUACCUCAAGUAAGUAACAAGUUAGUACCUGGCAUAUAACUCGUUUUACACAUUCGAACUCAAUUUACCUUGCCCGAUGAACCAUUCGAAAUUGGGUAGGACACUCGGAUAAUCACAUAAAUCGUACAAUGCCAACGUCCUAGACGUGGCCUUAUAUGUAGUCACAUAUCAAUGCCACUGUCCUAGACAGGGUCUUACUCAUACACAUAUAUCAGAAUCACAUAUCGAUGCCAUGGUCUUACUCCCCACAUACAUCAGAAUCCUAUGUCAUGACAUACGUAUCCUAGCUAUUCCAAAGGUUAUGGCUCGGUUGAAACGAAUUCAGAAACAUAGUAUUCGAGCUUACUCACAUUCGGCCAAUGCAUAAUUAAAAUCAUAUAUUUCAUUUCAGCAAGUAUAAUUUGCAUAUAAUUAUAAUUAAGUAUGUCUAUUUGCUUAUAAACUUACCUCGAAUGUUAUACGAGACAGGGCUGCUAGUCGACUACUUUUGUUUUUCCCCGAUCCAAAUCCGAUUUCUUUGGUUCUUGAUCUAAACAUAUUCAAAUUAAACUUAUUCAAACAUAUUUUCAUUCAAUUUAGUCCAACAACACAUAAAUGGGCAAAUUACCAUUUUAUCCCUAACAUUUACAACUUUUGCAAUUUAGUCCCUAUUACACAAAACACAAAGUAUACAAAAUUUCAAAAUACCUAUGUUGGGCCGAAUUUUACCCAUGUCUAUACAAACCCAUAUCAUUCAUUUAUUUCACAUUUUAGUCCCUCAAAUUAUUAUUUUUUCAAUUUAGUCCUAAUUACUCAAAAUCAUCAAAAACUCCAAUACAAAACAUAUUAAUCUAAAUCAUAUGUUUCAUAUUUCAUCAUCAGACAACAAAAAUCACAAGCUCUCAACAAUUUCAUAACUUAAAAUAUUCACCAAAAUAAAAAAUUCAAGCAUGGGUUUUGUAGUACUCGAAGCAACGAUCUCAAAAACGUAGAAAUUAUCAAAAACCGAACUAGCUACAUACCUUGAUUGUGCUUGACUAUUGCUGAACUAGGUUUUCUUUUCUUUUUUUCUUUCUUAUUUUGGUUUCGGUCGAAAGAAUAUAAAGUGAAUCAUGGCUUAUUUUUUUUAUGAUAUAUGUUAUAUUAUAAUGGUUUAUAAUAUUAGUUUACUAAAGUAACCUUAAUAUAUUUAUAUCAAAACAAUAUAAUAUAAACCUAUCGAUGUCCACUUAAUUAAUUAAUGGGAUAAUUGCAACAUAAAGGCUCCCAUUUUAAAAGCCAAUGGCAUUUUGGCCCUUUAUACAUUAAACUAUCCAAUUUUUAAUUUACGCGAUUAAGUCCUUUUAUUAAAUUAGACACUCAAACGAUAAAAUUAAAUCACGAAAAUUUCAAAAAUAUAAAUUCACACAAAAUAAACACAGAAAAUAAUUUUAAAAUAUUUUUUGGCUCAGAUUCAUGGUCCCGAAACCACCGUUCCGAUUAGGGUCUAAAUCAGAAUGUUACAUGACAUGUGUUGCGGUUACUUGACAGCUAGUGUGAGCAGCACCGUGUAGCUACAUCUUGACCCACAGCUUGGGUGAGCAGGCCCGUUGAUAGCUCUAGUGUGAGUAGUAUAUGUGAUAUGAGAUUGAGUUGGCUUCGGGCCAUGAUAUUGGCACUUUGGUGCGAGUUUUCCUGAGUAUCCGAUAGUAUUUCGAAUGGUUCAACGGCUAAAUGAAAGACGUGGUUGUGUAUGAGAUUGACACGAGAUGGUACAAGUAUGUACAUGAACCAUAUAAGCUUAAAUUGAAGAAGUUAUGAAGUUUAUGUAUAAGAUUAUCAUAGAAAAUGUGAAAGGUUUGUUAAUUAUAUGAAUUACAUGUUGAUAUGUUCAAAUUGAUGAUUUGUGUAAUUGUGUUAAGAUUGAGUUUAUUUUAUACGAGGUUACUAAGCUAUAUAGCUUACUUUGUUUAAUUUUCCAUGUUUUUUAGUGAUUUUAAAGCUAGCUCGGACUCGAGUAUCGUUGGAGACAUCAUCACACUAUCCAACUAUCAAUUUGGUACUUUUGAGCUUAUGUUUUGAGUAUAUGGCAUGUAUAGGGACUUUGGUCAUUUUGGUAUACUUGGUAAUGUGUUGUGCCAUUUGAAAUGGCUUGUUUAUGUUUAUAUUUUGGUUGUAAAUAUAUAGCCAUGAGAUUUCGUUUAAGUUGGUUAUUUUAAAUGUAUAUGUAUAUGUGAGAAUGGCCUAUGAUAUGGUCCAUAAUUGCUUGCAAAUGGUUUGUGGUAAUUUAGCAUUUAUGGUAGCUAAUGGUUAGAGAUGGCUAUUAUAUGUUAGUGAUUUUAGGCAAGAUAAAAUGUUUGGUUGAAAUAAUUCAAUAAGUGUUUGAGAUUAAUGUGUAUAGAGAAUGGGAGUAUUGAAUGUGCAUGAAUUAUGUUUGAUUUGGUUGAAUUGAAAUGCCUUUUGAUGCUAUGUAUUUGUGCCAAUUGAUGUGGUGUAGGUGCAUGCAAAUUUGGGUGGCAAAAUGGCUUGGUAAAUAGCCUAUUUUUGUCCACACAAGCAGAGACACGGGCGUGUGUCUCAGCCGUAUGUGACACACAGCUAUGUUACAUGGCCGUGUGCCCCCUAGUGUUGAAAUUAAAAUCAAGUCAGUAUGCUCCACACGGCCUCACACACGGGCGUGUGACUUGGGCGUGUGACUUGGCCGUGUGGCAUAAGUCAGUAUACCCUACAAGUUUGGCAUGGCCUACCACACGGCCUGGCACACGGGCAUGUAUAGCUUUUUUUAGGGUACACGAGCGUGUGUGUUGGUUGUAUGACCUAAGUCAGAGAGUUAUACGGGGUUGGACACGGGCUGGGACACGGCCAUGUACUCCCAUUUCGAAUGUCCACACGGCCUAUGACAUGGGCGUGUCUGUUGGCCAUGUGAGACACAUGGUCGGGCCACUCGAGCGUGUGUCCCCUGUUUUAAGAAAAAUUUCUUAAAUGUUCUAUAAGUUUACAAAGUUAUCAGUUUAGUCUUGAACCUUUACUAAAGCAUGUUUAGGGCCUCGUAUGCUCAUAUUAGUGACAUUUUGAUUGAGAUUGAAUGGUAAUUGCAUGAAAUGUGAAAAUGUAUGCAAAGUGAAUGUUUAAUUGUUUCAUAAGUUCGGUAAUACUCCGUAACCCUAUUUUGGCGUUGAAUACGGGUGAGGAGUGUUACAUGUAGGAAGUUGCGAAUAACCAAGAUUAAUAUCCAUCUCCACUAUAAUUUUCUUUUGUUGUUGAUCAUCUAUGAAAAUCUAUUGUUGACCUUGCCUUGCUUCUCUAACCUCUUUUUUGAUUUCUACGAGUAGCCUUUUUGAAUUUAGCUAUCUAAAAGUAAUGGUUCCAAUGGGUUACCCCUAGUCAUAAACGAAAGGAACAUGUAAGAAUCUAACAAAAGAAAAUCAAAAGUUAAAAAUUAAAUUAAAUACAAAAUUAUUAAAAUAAAAAUAAAAAAUGGCUAAAUUAAUAGCGCCAAAAACUUGAUGGUCACAAAACUAACUAAGAAUUUGACUAAGGCAAGUGCACCUAUCAAUUACUAGUAUAGUUACGGUGAGCAAAAAUAUUGUUGCCACGAAGACUACAAGUAAUAUUAAUUACCAUCUUUCUAUUAUUUAACUGAAUAAUUCAAAUGAUCAAUUAAAACUAAAAUUAGCUAAUUUAAUUAACUAAUGAACGUAUCAAAGAACAAAAUAAGAAAAUAAUUGAAUAACAACCAAGAAAUGAAACAAUACUCAAGUAAGAAUCUGCCUAGAUUUCAUUUAUCAAAUUCAAUCUAAAUUACACAAUUUCUUUACUUAGCACCUUGAUCCGUGGAAAGCCCUAAAUUAUGUUAAUAUCUCUUUCGAACAUAAAAGCAACUGACUCUAGAUUGAUUAAUUGAAAUUUCUUUCUAAUUAAAACCCUUAUUAUCCUAUUAACUUCUACUAUAGAUUCCCUAUUAGAUUUGACUCUAAUCCGGUAGAUUUAUGUCAUCCUAUUUUUAGGAUUGCAUGCAACUCAACUUAAUUAUGUGAGAUCUAAUCUUAAACAGGGUUUAUUGAACCACCAAUUUAAUCAUAUCAAACAUGUAUUAAUAAUUUAGAAAAACCAAACCAAUAAUUAAGCACAUAUAAUUUAGAACAAAGAAACUAUGUAUUUAUUUCGUAAAAUAGAAAUCAAACGACAUAAUUCAUUGUAGGGUUUAUUCAUAAUUCAUCGUAGGAUUCAUUCCCCCUAAGUAUUUAGAAAAUUAGUCCAUACUCAAAAAGAGAAAAAUCAAAGAUACAAUAUAACCGAAAGAAUAAAAGUAACUCAUGAUAACUUCCUAAGAAAUCAACUGAGAAUCUUCAAACUUGACCAAAAUCUGCUUUAGUUUCGACUUCAAUGGUGUUUUUCGAGUCAUUUUCUUGAUUAUUUUCUGACUACUUUCUCUUAUCUUCUUACUUUUGUCAUAUAUACAUCUUAAAAUGCCCGAAAAAUCUAAAAUCGUGAUUUUCGCUAUUCAGUGUGCAAUCCCAUGAAAUUGACACGACUUACCACAUGCUUAUGUGGUUCACAUGGUCGUGUGGUCUGGCCGUGUGAAAAGGUGUAGCUCAAGUGGUUCCCUCAGCUUUCUCUGACGCUCUUAUUUUUCCUCUUUUUUUGCUCCUUUUGCUCUCUUUGCUCCCACGUGCUCUAUCAGCAUUAAACAAUUAAUUUCAAGUAUUAGGAGUAUAAAAUUCACAAUAAACAUUGGAUAAUUACCCAAAACACGUUAAGAAUGAGGUUAAAACAUGUUAUUUUUAAGACUUAUCAUAAAAUGUAUCCAAUUAUUAUGUUGUCGGAAAUUAAUAUUUUACAGCUAUAUAAAUAUCAUUACGUAAAAGCAUUAAAAACAUAUUAUUAUUGUGUAAAGUAUUUGAUAAAAAUACAUUUUAUAAUUGUUAAAAUAAAUUUUUGACAAUGACAUAUAGCUGUUGUGUAGUGUAAUACACAACCAAUUAAACUACUCUUGCAAAAUAAUAUUUGGAAACCAAUAGUAUUAUUGUUACGUAAAUAAGUUGGCAGCCAUAUAUAAUGGUUGUUGAAACAUUUUUUUUUGGAACGUCUGUAAUGUAAUAUACAACCAACUAAAAUGUCGUCACAAAAUAAUUUGACAACCAUUAUAUUAUAGUUAUGUAAAAAAUUAGCAUCUAAAUUUACAUUGUUAUGAAUUCUAAGUUGCAACCAAUAUAUUAUUAUGUAAUAAUUUUUUUCAAUUGAAAUAUUGUCGUUGAUUUAUAGAUUUCAUAAAUGAUUUUAUUGUAACUAAAAAUAUUUGCACAAAUAAAUUAAGUCAUUGCUAAAAAACAUAUUUGAAAAUGACAAAAGUCAUUGUAAUAUAUAUAAAUAAAAAUGACUUUUUAAUUUGCAAAGUGUUGCGUAUACUUUAGACAAUAGAGGUAUACGCAAUGAUCCCACAACGACUUUUUGUUGUUACAAUAAAAUUUAGCAACAGUAAUACAAUAUUUAGCAAUGACUUUUAAUGUUGGUAAUGCCCAUUUUUCUUGUAGUGGUUGUAAAUUUAAUCAUUAUACUCUAGUUUGCUCUAUUUUUUCAAUAUUAGAAAUUUCAAUUCAGACCCAAAUAGUAAUUGUUCAAUUCAUUAAGUUUAAUUAUGAUAUUUUUAAAAUUUAGUGAUAAACAUCAUAGAAGGAACCAAGAUAAAGCAUUUGGGGGUGAGGAACAAAUAUAAAUAAUAAAAUAUAACAAAAUGCAAUAACAUUCAUGGCUAAAAUAAUUCAAAUAUACAUACAUCCAACAUAUCAAAAUAGAACACAUUACUUUUUAGAUCAUGAAAGUCAUCUAUAAAUGAAUCUACAUGAAAUGUCUCGGCAAUUUCUUUUUCAACAUAUAGUAGCAAACAAUUUAAGAGAACUUCAUCUUCAAUAUUGUUGCAGCACUUAUUUUUAAUGAUGUUCAAUACCAAAAUUGAUCAUUCCGUGUAGCUAGAGAAACUAUAAGAUUAAGAAUAAGAUUCACCACUUUGCAUACAAGAGGAUAAAUCUAAUACUUUCUUUCUUUUACCAACCAUUGUCACAAAUCAUAAAUAGUUUCCACUUUUUUGAAAUCCUAAAGUUAUCACAAAUUAUCAAAAUGCCCAAAUUACAUCGUUAAUUGCAUAAUCUAUUAUUCAAUAAUGUCUGAGAGGAUAAAUUUUGUGGACCAAUUGACAAAUUUCAUCAAUUCUAAAUGAAGUGUGCUUCUUUAGAUCUAUAUUAAACUAAGAGUAAGAAACUCGAUUGUAUGAUCAUUGAACUUAUCAUUCAAUUCUUGUAACUGAGUAUCAAUCACAAUAUUAAAAUAUGUAUUUUAAAAUGAUGCUCCAAUGUAAUAUCCACAUGUUAAUUGUGAGCUUGCCAUUUUCUUGCAACAUAAUGAGCAUUCAAAUUUGGGAUAGAUAUGUUAAUUGAUUCAAAAAAGGAUCUCAUCUUACAAUUAGAUCAUCCCAUUAUUCAUUCCAUAAAUUUUGAAUGUGUGGCUUAAUAGAUGAAACAUGAUGCAUUGCAUUCAAAAUAUCCUUAGAUUACUGUUGUGAAGUUUGAUGUGGCAUAUUAGAAAUCUCAAGAACUUUUCUUAUAAGAUGUAAAAUAAAAACAAACUUAGAGGAAGUCAAAGCCUCCUAUGUUACAUCUGCAUCUGUAUGUUGAGUUGAAGUAGCUCUAUCGUUAAUAAUGUUGAACAAAACCUCACAUGUUUCACUAAACAUAUUGAUCAAGAUAGAAAUAGAUUUUAAAUGUGCACUCCAUUGAGUAUAUUCUAGCCUUUGCAAAUUACAAAUUUGAUUAAAUUCCCUUUCACAUUAAAUCUCAUUAAUAUAAAGUAAAUGAGCAACAUUUAUAGCAUGGGCAACUUUCAAUUGAUCUCUUCGCUUGCCUAAUGCAACAACUAUAUAGAUAACAGAGCUCAAUUUAUUAAAGCAAUAGUGGAUAAAGAUAAGUUAUUUUAAAGCAAUAACUAAUGCUAAUUGCAAGCAAUAUGCCAUAUAAUGAACAUAGUAAGCAUAGGUACAUACACUUAAAAUCAAAGUUUGUAUGCCAUUCCACUCUUUUCCUAUAUUAUUAGCACUAUCAAAGCCUUGUCCUCGAAUGUUAUGAACAAAAAAAUUAUAUUAGGAGUGAAAAAAUAUCCAUCCUUUAAUGUAGAUGUAACAAUGUCCUUAACAAGAAGUAAUCCAAAAAAAAAACCCACUCUUUCAUAUAUAGCCACUUUUAUCAACAUAUCUCAAACAAUGGAUAGUUGUUUAUUUUUAGAUUGAACUCGAGGUUCGCCAACUAUUAUACAAAACUUAGAAUCACCCAAUUUUGAAUGAAUUUUUUACUUUAGUAAAAAAGGACUUGUAAAAUUUCCUUUUACAUUUUUGGUGAAGUGUAUACAACAUUUUUUUCUCUAAAUCUGUCUCUAUAGAUGUUGCUAUUUCAUCAUUGCAAGAUGAUAUCCAACUUAGUAGUUGAAGAAAAUUCUUUGACCUUUGUGAUGUUUUAGUUUUAACAUCACCUCUAAAAGUCAUAAUCUUUUAGGAGCUCUAUCCACCGUCUCUGUCUCAAAUUCAAUUCUUUUUUAUAAAGAAGAUAUUUCAAACUUUUAUGAUCAGUAUAAAUGUAGCAUUUUUCACCGUAUAAAUAGUGCCUCCAAAUCUUUAGAGUAAAAAUCACAACUGCCAGCUCUAAAUCAUGAGUCGCAUAAUUACGUUCAUGUGGCUUCAACUGUCGAGAUGCAUAGGCUAUUACUUUUCUAUCCUGCAUCAAUACACAACCCAGGCCAUUCAAAGAAGCAUCACUGUAAACUAUGAAAUCUUUCCCCAAUUCAGGUAAUGUCAGAACUGGUGCCUCUGUCAACAUCUGCUUCAAUGUUUCAAAACUCCUUUGACAUUGAUUAUCCCAAAUAAAAGGAACAUUAUUCUGUAACAGCUUGGUAAUCAGUAAAGCUAUUUUUGAGAAUUCGUUGACAAAUCUUCUACAGUACCCAACUAAACCGAGAAAACUGCAUACCUCUAAUACAUUCUUAGGUGGUUUCCAUUUGACAAUCGCUUCAAUCUUCUUUGGAUCAACUCGUGAUACCACAUGUCCCAGAAAUACAACCUUUGACAACUAGAAUUCACAUUUACUGAGUUUCUCGUACAAUUGUUUUUCCCACAGAAUCUGUAGUACAAUCCUGAGAUGCUGAUCAUGUUCUGACUCUGACAUAGAAUAAACUAGUAUAUCAUCAAUAAAAACCACCACGAAAUGAUCUAAAUAUGGCUGAAAAAUGCGAUUCAUCAAAUCCAUGAAAGCAGCUAGGGCAUUAGUCAACCCAAAUGGCAUCACCAAAAAUUCAUAAUAACCAUACCGAGUAUGAAAUAGAGUUUUUGGUACAUCACUUUUUUUUACCUUCAGCUGAUAAUACUCGGAUCUUAAGUCAAUCUUCGAAAAUACCAAAGCUCCCUUUAAUUGGUCAAAUAAAUCGUCAAUACGAGGUAAUGGAUAUUUAUUCUUGAUUUUUACCUUGUUUAAUUGUCGAUAAUCAAUACAUAACCUCAUAGAUCCAUCUUUCUUCUUAACAAAUAAUACCGGAGCUCCCCAAGGUGAGAUACUCGGUCUAAUGAAUCAACGAUCUAGUAAAUCCUGUAGUUGCACCUUUAACUCUUUCAAUUCAGUGGGUGACAUUCGAUACGGAGGUAUAGAGAUUGGUGAUGUAACCAGAUACACCUCUAUAGCAAAUUCAACCUCUCUGUCAGGUGGUAAGCCCGAUAAUUCUUUAUGAAAUACAUCUGGAAACUCACAUACGGUCUUGAUCUGACUGCACUGACUCCCAACUAAAUCAGAAUUAAUAACAUAUGCCAAAUAUGUUGUACAACCUUGCUGGAGCAAUUUAUUAGCUUUCAUUUCCGAAAUAAUGCGCGUCGAGCCAUUGGUACAAAUGCCAUUCACCUCAAUUUUGUCCCCAUCCUCUGUUUAAAUACUAAAUCUCUUUUUAUGACAAUCCAAGAUCACCCUGUAUUCGGAUAACCAAUCCAUACCCAAUAUUAUAUCAAAAUCGCCGAAAGGCAUAAUCAACAAGUCAACGGAAAACAUUUUAACAUGUAUCAUCAACGAGCAUCUCCGGCAUACUCGAUCGUCAAACAUAGUUUGUCCCAAAGGGCUAGACACUUCUAUUAAAACUAUAGACAUUUCAGAUUUUAAUUUUCCCAACUCAACCAGUUUUUAAUUAAUAUAUGAAUGUGAUGACCCUAGAUCAAUUAAAGUAUAAACAUGUUUAGAAUGCAGUAAAAAUAUACCUAUCACAACAUCAUGUGCAUCGCCUUCUUUUCUGGUCUGAACUACAUACGCCCUAGCUGGUGCUCUAGUUUCUGACUGUUGUGUAGCUAAAUCACUACUUUUUCGUGCACUUCCACCUCCAAAUACAGAACCACCUCUGCUCGUGCCUCUACCUCUAGUAGUAGACACCGAUCUCUGAGAUGUUGCAGGUAUAGUAUUUUCUCCUUUUGGACAGUCUUUGAUGAAAUGAUCUGUGGAUCCACAUCAAAAACACCUUCUAGUUAUCUUCCAAUAUUCACCUAAGUACUUUUUCCCAUAGUGUUAGCAGUCAGGAAUAUCAAUGUUUCGUGAAGGCCCUCUUAUACUACCGGUAGAAACUGUAGUCUGCUUUCCCCGACUUCUUUCACCUCGAUCUGAUCAAAAACUCAACAUCCAACCACCUCUGAAUUCUCUAAAUCUCUUUGGUAAAGGACUUGAACUGGUUUUUCCAACUCUUUUCUUGGCUGAUUUAGUUGUUUCAGGCUUUUUAUCCAAUCCUAAAACCUGUUCCACCAUUUUUGCUAUCUCCACCAAAUCUACAAAUUCUGUUAUUCGAAGUGAUACCGACUGUACCUUAAUCUCAUCUCUCAAACCUCGUAGGAAUCUUUUACAACUAUCAGCCUCAGUUGGUAUGAACUCAGAAGCAUAGCGACCGAGUCUGGAGAAUUCACGUUCAUAAUCUAUCACUGUCAUUUCUCCUUGUUUCAGCAUUAAAAAUUCUUGUUUCUUAUCUUCAAUGUACAUUUCCCCGAUAUAUUUAUUCUGAAAUUCUUUUUGAAACAAAUCCCAUGUUACCUGAUCAGACGGUAAAUGUCGGAUCACAGAUUCCCACCAUAGGUAUGUCUCACCUUGUAACAAUGAUACAGUACAUACUAAACACUCUCGGGGGGUAUAUUCCAGUUGUUGUAAAACUCUUUUGGUUGACUCCAUCCAAUUCUCAGUAGCAGACGGAUCAACUCCUUUCGGACCCAAGAAUUCUGUGGCACCGUACUUCCUUAAUUCCUUAAUCAGAGCCCGUCUAGUAGAAGGAGUAGAUGUGGUAGCAGGUACAGUCCCCACUACUCGUUGUAGUGCAUCAGCUAUUGCUCUUAACAAAUAAGAAUUAUCUCUUUCUCUAAAAAAUUUUCUUUCUACAUUAGGGGGUUGACUUCUGACCAGAUUUACACUAGGAGUAGCUGACUUUGUUUUAUCUAAAUCAUAUGACUCUUCGUCUCCGGUAUACAUUUCUUUAUCUGUGUUAUUUAUCCUUUCAUCUGACAUUUUUAAUCUACAAAACAAAACAAACAAAUAGGUCAGCAUCCAAAAUCCCGACUCAAUUUCGACUCAACAGUGGCGUGUACUUCUAAACUCACUUCUGAACCCGAUUUAGGCUGAGAAUCGGCUAAACCUGAUAGCUCUAAUACCAAUAAUUGUAACACCCCUUAACCCUAAGCUGUCGCCAAAGCAGGGUUACGAGGCAUUACUGAACAUAUCAAUCAAUUUAUGUACAAUUCAUAAAUAAAUAACAAACAUAUUAAAAUUAAAUCAUAAAAUCCCCUUUAAUGGACCCUCGAGGCCCAAAUCACAUAGUAAAAAUGGAACGGGACUUCUUCUAGUACUUUGAUAUUUUUCUGUAAAUUUUAUUUAAAAAAAACUCAAUAUAUCCCCAUUAUAAAUAUCUAACAUUCCCUACAAAUUUUCAAACAGCAACCAAUACCAAUUCCAGUAAUUCAACCAAUACAUUUACAUACUCAAAUAUACCUAAAUUAUACUUAACAUAUUGACUUGAUAACUUAAUUACCAUUUCUAAUUAAUUCAUAAAAUCAUUCAAACCAUUUUAAUUCAUACUAAUACCAUAAAUAAUUUUCUACCAUUUCACUAGUUUAAAACAUCAAAACACUAAAUACUUUUAUUUACAACAUAAUUAUAUAACAUACCAAAAUAACCAUUAUAAUACCUAUGUACAUGCCACUUUUAUUUAAGGAAGAAAACAUAACCAAAAGUUUUACGUUGAAGUCGGGACCAUUUGGAUGAUAAACCGGGACUCUGGACUUCUAUUGACCUAUGUACGGAAAUAACCGUACGCUGAGUAUUUUAUACUCAGUGGUAUUACUAUAACUCAAACUAUAUAAUUCAAAUAAUUUAAAUUGUAUUUAUCAUAAAUAUUAUAAAUCAUAAAGAUUAAUUUCCAUUUAAUAACAUAUAACAAUUAUAUCAUUUCAUCAACAAUAUGACAUUUUUACAAUCUAUUCUUCCAUCAAUUCAUAACCUUUAAUUACAUAUUAUCAUAUCACAUAUAUCACAAUAAUUCAUAAAUCAACUUAUACCUCCUUCUCAUAUUUUCAAUCAUUCAAAUAAUCAAAUUCAUUCAAUUUACUCAUUUCAUUUGUCACCCUAUUAACAUAAAUCAGACUUUGACAGAUACAUGGAUUCCAUCCAAACACAUCAGAAAUGUCCAACCAAAACACACCAGUAUAAUCCUCCAAAACACACCAGUAUCAUAUAAUCCUCCCAAACACACCAGAAUAAUAUAAUCCAUCCAAAAUACACUAGAAUAGCACAGAGUGCCUCUUCGGAUAAAUCCGAAGGAUAUAAACAUCAGCAUCUCCAAAUCACAUCUCCAAAUCCCUUCUCAAAAUCCUAUGGCAUGCCAAUUAUAUUUGACACAGUCUGACUAGUUAAUAGGGUAUUCUUUCACUUUUUUUAUUUUAUUUCAAUUUCAUUUCCAUAUCAAUUUCAAUUCCAUUUCAAUAUACAAUCAAUUCAAUAUACUUCCAAUCUCAAUCCACAUUUAAUUCAAUACUCAUACUUAUCCAUACUUCAUUUCAAAUAUUAAUACUUACCUUAUAAUGUACUUACCUUACAUAUAAAUUUAAAUAUAACAUUUAAUAAAUAAUAGUUUGAGUUACAGUAAUACAAACCGUAAAUUUUCUCGAGCUACUCCUCGACUAUCUUUUCCUUCCCCUUUUGCGUUGACGUCUCGGAUUCUUUAUUAGCUAUUAAUGUAACACCCCGUACCCGAGACCGUUGCCGGAGUCAGACACGAGGGGUUCGCAGACUUAAAUCACUUAUUUGCACAGUCCAUUUUAAAUUUCCAGACGAGCUGGCUAACUGCAUCACUGUCACCUUAAAAAUCAUAUCUCGAGUUCCAAAACUCGAAAACCAGUUCCGUAAAUUUUUCCUGAAACUAGACUCAUAUGUUCAUCUACAAAUUGUUUUAUAGAAUUUUUGGUCAAGCCAAUUAGUACAGUUUAUUAGUUAAAGUCCCCCCUGUUUCAGGGUUCGACUACUCUGACCUUCACGCACUACGACUUGGAUAUAUCCCUGUACAGGGAUUCAAUACUGAUGCCGUUUGUUUCUAUAGAAACUAGACUCGAAAAGGAAUCUAUACAUAUAUGGCAUGACUUAUAAUUAUCUCUGGUUAAUUUAUAAUGAAUUUCCAAAGUCGGAACAGGGAAUCCAGAAACCGUUCUGGCCCUGUCUCACGAAAACUUAAAUAUCUCUUAACAUACUGUUCAUAUGAUCGUUUCGUUACUUUCCUAUGAAAUAGAUUCAUCAAGGUUCGAUUACAUAAUUUAUUCACUAUUUAAUUCCAUUCCUACUAUUUUUAGUGAUUUUUCACAUUCACAUUACUGCUGCUAUCAGCAUCUAUUUUUAAGGUAGACUUUACCUAUUACAUAAUUUCCAUGAUUCAACUAGCCCUUUAUCAUAUAUAGCACAAAAUAUGAUCAUGAUUAACCAUUCCAAUGGCUAAUCGUUCCCAAACAUUUCCAUACCUCUUAAUGAACAUCAUACAAGACGAUUAUAAUAUUAAGCUCAAAGUGUAUAUAAGCCAUUUUCGCAUGGCUAUCCAAAUUUAUACAAAACCAAAGGGUACAUGACCCGCAACAAAAAGGGUAGUCCUAUACAUGCCAUUUCAAAAUUCAACCAAAAAUGUACCAAAAGGGAGUUUGAUAGUGUGGGAGACUUCGACUUCAAUAAUCCCGAGUCCGAUAGCUGAUGAACCAAAUCUAUAAAACAGAGAUUCAAAGAAACGGAGUAAGCAUUUAAUGCUUAGUAAGUUUUGAGCAAUGAAAUUAGGCUCAACUGAAGUAUAGCAUUCAUAUAACUAAACGGAUAAUUUCAUAUACACAUAUAUUCUCAAAAAUCAGUCCUACUUCACAUUUCCAACCCUUAUAUUCAUACAUAAGGGAUCAACUUAACCAAAAACCGGAAGCUCCUUAAUCGACUGAGCGAAUGCUAUUUAAGAGGAAUCAAUUAAUCCAAUGCAUGUACAACACAUACCUCGUUGUUGAGAUUUUACGAGCGUAUUAAUUGAAAUUAUUACAGCAGAUCGCUCAUUCCCAAACUCAAGUAAUCUUCGGGAUUUAGCCGGAUAUAACUACUUGCACAAGGCCUUCGGGUCUUAGCCCGGAUAUGGUCACUAGCACAGAUGCCUUCGGGACUUAGCCCGGAUAUAGUCGCUAGCACAAAUGCCUUCGGGUCUUAGCCCGGAUAUAAUCGCUAGCACAAAUGCCUUCGGGUCUUAGCCCGGAUAUAGCAACUCGCAUGAAUGCCUUCGGAUCUUAGUCCGGUUAUAGUCACCUAUCAUAAAAGCCUUCGGGACUUAGCCCGGAUAUCAUUCGAAUAACCAUGCACAUAUAUCAAUAAAUCAUGACACAUCCAUAUUUCAUUUUCAUUACCAGAGCUCAAACACAAAACACUUAUCACACUUACAAAUUUCGGCUCAAUAGCCACAUACAAAGAGCAUGAUUUUGAUUUACUUAAGACAUAAUCUAAUCAAAUCAUAAUCUAAGCUCCAUUACUCGAAAACUUACCUCGGAUGUUGUCGAACGAUUUCGGCGGCUAUUCGAUCACUUUUUCCUUUCCCUUAUCCAACUUUGGUCCUCUAAGCUCUUGAGCUAAUUCAAACAAAUUUAACUUAUUAAAGUCUCAUUAUGCUAGCUUAUGGCCGAACAUGACAAUGAAUUUGAUGGGUCAUAUGGCCACCUUUAGCUCAAAUACAAAAUGGUCAUAUGCAUUUUUAAUCACAUUAAGCAAUUUAAUACAAUUCAUUCGAACAUCAAAAGAGAAGCUCAAGGUACUUAGCCCAUAUAUACAUUAGACAUUAGGGUCACAUAUGUACGAAAUCACGAAUCGAAUUCAACAUAUUAGCUAAUAUUCCCCUUAGCCGAAUUUUCUAAGUCAAGAUAAAGCCAUCAAUAUGCUUACCUAUGGCCGAACAUACACAUCAACUUAUGUACUCAUUCAUGUGGCCGAACAUACAUGUCUAUGUUGAGGCCGAUUGCAACACUUAAUACAUUCUACAAGUAUGGUCACUUGUAUUGACUAAACACCAUUUUGUUUCAAGUUCAAAACUUGGCCAAUACACAUAUAUACACUAGUAAAGCAUCCUCUCCCUUUCCAUCAAUUCAACACAUGCAUUACUCAUUAAUAUACAAAAUUAUAUUCGACCUUAGCACACAACUUUCUAGCCGAUUCUUCUCCAUCUAGCAACUAAUGCACAUAUGUGCUCAUUUGUUAGACUCUAAUUCAUCUAACAACAACCAUAUUUUCCCUUCUACUUCCUACCAUGGCCAGAUGCUCAAGAUACCUCAAUAUCGAAACUUUUAGCUUGGAUUGCUUAAAGAACUUGGUGAUGAGUUCAAAUUUACCUAACACCUCAAGCCUCAUAACACAUCCAUAUAGCUAACAUGCUAAUAGUCUCAAGGCUUCAACUAAAACUUUUGAAGCCUCUUAGUCGAAUACUAACUCUCUAAUAAUCCCAAAUCCAUCCAUGAGAUAGUUAGAAUUUAGACUAAUCAUCCAAGGGAUGUAUGAACUUUCAAAGCAACACUAAACAUACCUUAAUCUAGUGAGCCUUCAUAGCCGAUUUUUCUCCAAGCUCAUUCCCUUCCUUUCUUUCUUCUAUUCGGCCAAAGAUGUUCAAGGAUGAACACUUUUUUUUUCUUUGUUUCCUUUCUUCCAUUCACAGCAAAGGGGGGGCAUGGAUGAGACCAUUUUUUUCAUCACUCCACCUUUUUGCAUUACUUUAAUCCUAACCCCUUUUUUUAUUCUUUCUAACAUAACGCACUAACACAACAUGUUUACAACAUGUUUCCACCCAUAGCAUGGCCGGCCACUAUGCUUUAAUUUUGGGUAAUUUGACAUGCAAACCCAUCAUUUCACAACAUGCAUUAUUAGGCCACUUUACAUUUGCCUAGCACAUUUCCAAAUUUUGUCACAUAAGUCCUAUUUGAUAAAAUUCACUUACUAUUAACAAAAUUCAAACAUGAAAUUUUCACACAUGCAUAUGUACAUAUAAUGAGCAUCAACUAUGACGGUUAAUUAUCUUUAUGACUCGGUUUAGUGGUCCCGAAACCACUUUCCGACUAGGGUCAAUUUAGGGCUGUCACAAUUAAAGCUUAAAGCUCCUAAACCCUAGUUUUUCCUUUUAUUUUUCUUUCCUUCUUUCUUUCUCCCUAUUCGAAUUGCUCUCUGUUUCUUUUCCGUUUCUUUUGUUUUGUUUCUUUAUUUAUUUUCUGCUUUCAUGUCUUUUUAUUUUGUUUACUUUAUUUUAUCUUAAAUUUAAUUUAAUAAUUAUAAAAUAUCUAUUUAAUAACAAUAUAAUUAAUACAUUUGUAUACAUGUAUGUUUGUACAUUUGUACACUAUCAUUACCAUCCAUUUGUCUUUCUUUUAUUUAACAAAUAAAAAUCUUAUAAUAUCAAUAUUUAAUUAAUAAAUAUCUUUAACUUAAAAUUUAAGUAAAUACAUAAUUAUAAUACAAAUGUAUAUAUUCAUAUUAUUACAAAUGUCAUUAUCUAAUUUAUUUUCCAUACCAAAAAUCUUAUAAUUUUAAUUAUUUAUCUAAUAAAUAUCUUUUACUUAUUAACAAUAAAUAAUAAAUAUCUACUUAAUAAAUAAUACUUGUAUUACAAUUGUAUUAUACAUAUUAUUACACAUGUAUCAUCUCAUUAUCCUACAUUUGUCAACUUAUUAAUUUAUUCACUAAUAUAAUAUCAAUUAAGUAAUAAUAAUCAAGAAAUAUCUUUUACUUAUUAUUUAAGAAAAUACACAAAUAUAUUACAAGUGUAUUUUCUUAUAUUUUACACGUAUAUAAAUUAAUAAUACUAUAAAUUAACAUAACAUAACAUAAUAUAUAUAAAUAAAACAAAAAUAUUAGAUUUUGUUUCCUUUAUGCCGCGUCAAAUUCCAAAUGUGGCUUAAUUUCCCUUUUGGUCCUUUUUAUUUUCUAUCAAUCUAUAAUUAAACUUUUACCAUUUAUUCAAUCUAAUCCCCCUUUUUUUUAAUUACUCUAAAUUAAACCAAAUUUACCUAAUUAAGACCCAAUUAAACACACUACUAGACUUAUAAUUAUUCCUAAUAAUUAUUUACAAACCCGUUUCACUAAGAUGAAGGCUCGAUAAUGUACUUUUGCGAUGCCCGUGAAUUUUGGGUCAUCACAUUAGCUCACUGGUUAUCUAAUGUUUAACUAAUACUAAGGGGUAUUAUAUGGUUGGAUAGUAACAUGAAAAGACAACUUCUAUUAGUAGAUGAACCUAAAUAUGUCCUUACUCUAAUUGAAAAUGAGCAAAACAAUUGAAUGACUAAUAUGUUGUCUAUCAAGUCCAGUUGGGGAGAUGCUUUGCCUUGAGCAUCGAAGCAGAUGGCUCCCCGAAGAUAGAGACAUAUAUGUGAUUGACACAGUACAUUAGACAUGACCCAAGUAGAAUAGAUUUAUUUACUUGUAACAUUCAUAUUUUGAAAUACCUUAGUCUUGAGUGGAUAAUGAACUAUAUGUGUGAUUUGUAUACUUUCAUGUAAGUAAAAGCCCUAGUUCAAAUAGAUAAGGAAUUGAAAGUUAGUGCGUUGGGUAUACAACUUUUGCAAUAUGUAACAUCAUUCACAAUAGUGGAAUUCAUAUCCCAAGAAAUGGGUAAAUGAUAUCUUCAUUGGAAUUACAUGAUAGAUGAAAUGUAAACGCGGCCACGAGUCAUUUGUCUUUGUGGUGUGUAACACCCCAACUAACAUAGGGUUAGAAUUAAUAAAAUCACCAAGAAAUAAGCCUUAGUCUUGAUGGUUAAGUGCUUAGAAUACUCCUUAGAGAACCAAGGUUCAAACCCUACUUUUCCCAUUUUCUUCUAUUUUUUUUCAAGUAACUAAGGAACAAUCUCAAUCUAGUAUAUAUAUUAAAAGUGGUAAAAAUAAGCCAAGAAUGGGUAGCAGCCCCAAGUGGUAAGGCAUUUCAUUUCCACAUUGUCUUUAGGUUCAAAUCACGCCAAACUCAUUCAUCAUUUCCAUUUCUUUUUUUCAUUUUCGACAAAAAGGGUAAAUUACCCUUCAGCCCCUUAAAAGUUUGAAAACCUAGCUAUUUAAUCCCUUUCCUAAUUACAUUAGGAUUUAGAUUUACUUUUUUCAUUCCAAUUAGAAUUCCUUCCUCCAUUCUCUAUGUAUCAUCAUAUUUUCUUUCUUACCCUUUUCUGUCACAUUAUUUUGUUCUUGAAAGUUAUUUCUUUGCUCACCCCAAAUCAAAAUCAAUCUCUACUAAAACAAUUUCCUACCAGUUUUUGAAUUUAUCAGCAAUAACCCUCGAAAUCUCAUCAAAGAUAGACAAGUAUUCAAUUUUCGAAUAAGUAGAAACCAUAAAUCCUAUAAUAACAUCAUUCUUGUUAAUCUUUAAACUCGAGUACGAAUCUUUUGUGAAUUUUUUUAAAAAUCUUGAUAUUUUUUUAUAAGUAUUAGAAAUUAUUAUUGAUUCUUGUGUAAAUCUCGUUUGAAGGACCUAUUCCAAGUACCCAGGAUUAGAUCUAGGCACUAGGAACAACGUUUGAGAUCCCGGUGAAAGGUGUGUGUUCUUUUAUGAGCAAAUCGGGUAAACCAUGCCUAAGAUAGGGCCAUACAGGCGUGUGGACCACAUGACCAUGUCCCCCUGCAAACCCUAAGAUAGUUCGCAUUUCAAAUCGGCAUGACCCUUCCACACGGUUUGCCACACGGGUGGACCACACAGCUAUGUGCCUUGGAAACCCUAAUGUAGUUCGUAAACCAAUGGCCUUAGUUUGUUACACGACUUGGCCAUACGACUUGAGGCAUCUCACACGGCCUGUCCACACAGUCAUGUGCCCCUGUUUCUUAGAUUUUAUAGUUUUGCCCAUAAUUUUUUUAUUUGCCCAGUUUAGUCCCUAAUUGAUCCCUGAACUAUUUUUAAUGUUUAAUUUUAUUCAAUCAAAUCCCUGAUAGUAUGAGUUAUGUUAGAAUCUAUUAUUUGAUGAACAAAAUUCAUAUGUUAAUUAUAUAUACUUGCAUGAAUUGUGAACAAUUCAGAUGUCUGUUGUAUUGUAUUUGUGAUUGUACGUAUAGUAUGCCUUAUACCAUUAAUGUAACACUCCUAACCCGUAUCCGUCGUCGGACUAGGGUUAAAAGGCAUUACCGGAAAUAUCGGAACAUUUCACAUUCAUUUUACAAACAUCAUAGCAUCAUAGUCAAACAUCAACAUAAAGUCCAUUUCUUAGGUCAAUGAGACCUUAAACAUGUUUUAGAAAGAGGUCGGGACUAAAUUGAACACAUACAAAGUUUUCUCAAAACUUUAAAAUUUUUCUAAGUUACAAAGGUCAAACGUCUGUGUGAACAGGCCGUGCCUCACACGGCAUUAGACACAUCCGUGUGUCUAGUCCGUGGCAAAAUAGGGCAUACAUACUAACUUGUUCACACGGCCACAAGACACAUCCGUAUUCCAGGCUGUGUGAAAAUUAGGGACGCUACUGACUUGGGUCACAUGGCCGACCACACGCCCAUGUGCCAGCCCGUGUGCCACACACAAUCAAUAGACACGCCCGUGUGUCUAGGCCGUGUCAAAACUGUAGGGUAUACUGACUUUAAAUCGUAGGGUACCUGUAACAUCCUGAUUUUCGGGUUUUUCGUGAUUCUUGAUAUUUUAAGUAAAUUUCUAAAAUUUGGUAUGUGAUUAUGGAAUUCAUAAUUUGGGUAUGUAAAUGGGCUUAUGGAAGGCCCAUGAGUUGGCCAAAACCCGGUAGAAUUUUUAAAUUUUGGACUUAGGAGUUAGGGGUUUUGGUUAGGUGCCCUUAUAUAAAGUUGUGGGUAACAUGCAUCACAAAAAGAGCUGUAGUAAAGUGGCAAAGGUGAUGCCACUAAGUUCCUAAAAAGGUGGCGUGUGGAGCAUAAGGGAAGACCUGGGAUCGAUCCCCUGUGUUGGCAAAUAAGAGUAUUUAUUUUUAUUUGCAGGAAGGGUAAGUGUUGGAACCUAAGUGGAUUCUGUAAGAGGAGAGUUGGAUCAAGUCAAAUGCAUAGAUUAAGGAGGGAUAAGGGGAGAGAUUUUAGGGAUUUGAUAUGGAGAUAGAGUUGGCUAAAUAAGGGAGAUUGGAGAGGGGAUUUUCGGCAGAGGGGUUUUAGUUAGGGAUUUUCGGCACUUAGGUAUUGGUGUGCCGUUUUCUCCCUUGAGGUUAGCCUUCUUCUCUCUUUUUCUUUUUGCAACCGAACCUACCAUCUCUUCUUCCAUCUUUUCUUCCUUCUCUUUCUUUCAAACCAGCCCAUUAUUUCCCUUCAUUCACCCAUUAUUUCUUUCCUUUAUCUCUACUUCUGCCGAAAUACCGCAAAAGCCGAAAUAAGUGAAGCUAGGGGGUGCCGAUUCUUUGUGACCAGCAACCUUUUCUUUCCUUUUCAAUUGUUGGCAUUCAAUUCCUUUACAUUUUAGGCAUCCGGAUUCAAGAGGAGAAAGACUGUGGUAAGUGCCCAAACUCUAAACGAUUCCUAGAGUAACUGUUGGCCAAAAGCCGAAACCCUAUAAUUUAGGGAGAUGGCCGAAUAUGGGUAUAGGCUUUAUGGGGUCUUCUUUUAAUAUUUUUUGUGGUUUAUUUAGUGGAAGAGCAGUAAGGUGUAGUGUCGACUUGGGGUAGCUUGGAUCUUCGGAGUGGCUAGACCUAGUCAUCAAUCGCGAUAAAGGUAAGAUUCCUAAGGCCAUUAUGGAUGGUGGCCGAAUUUGUAAGUAUUAGUAUUAGAUGAUUUUUGGUUUGGUUCAAUUAUGGGAAGCUGAUUAUUAACGAUGGAUUAUAGAAUAAAUUGUGUAGGAGAUCUCGUCGAGGAAUAUAGCCAAAAAGGUGUGUAACGAACCCUUUUUCAUAGCUUAAAGCGAUAAAUGCCGAAAAGCCGAAAUGCCGAAAUUCUGGCAUUUCGAGGACUGGUGAGUAAGCGAACGCUCACUAGUUGGUUAGAAUCGAUAAGAUGAUGAUCGAGAACAAUAGAAACGGUAAGAAUGUGAUUUUUGGCGUUCUCGGUAAGUUGGGCCUCGAGGGGCCGAAGUGGGGCCCAUUUAGGUAAAAUUGGUAGAAAAGGAGAACCUGUUAAAUUGCACAUCGUGACUGAUAAAACCGUUAUGGAAUAUAGGUUAAAUGGGCCUAGAUGACGAAAUUGGCUAAGUAGGGCCUAUUAGAGGUUUUUAGGCCCAAUAACUCAAUUUCGCUAAAAAUGGGCCAGACUCACUAUUUGCACACAUGAAUUGUUAGUAACCGUUAAUGAACAUGGAAACCCUAAUUUUUGGUAAAAUUACAAGAUUAUCCUUAUAACAUGAAAAUGACCGUUUUGCCCCUAGGUAAAAAUGACCGUUUUGCCCCUAGGGUUUAUGUAUGAAUUUAAUACAUGGGAUUUUGAUAAACAUGGUAUGUAUGAUAUGCACAUGAUAUGUAUGAUAUGCACAUGAUGUAAUCAUAAAUGCAUUGGGUUGGGUUUUAUAUGAAUGGAGGAAGUGAAAAAGGGCUUAUGCCCCAGUUAUUAAAGGGCUUAUGCCCCAGUUAUUAAAGGGCUUAUGCCCAGUUAUUAAAAGGGCUUUUGCCCUAGUUAUUAAAAGAGGCUAGGCCUCCAGUUAUAUGAUAAAGCAGCUAUGCUGCCAGUGGAGAGUUAUGGCGGGGUGGGUCGAGUUAAUCCCCACAUGGUGUGUUGGUUGGUACGGGUGGAGAGUAGCGGAUGGUGGGUUGAGUAGUCUCCCCAAAUGGGCUUGCAUUCUUUCAUUGACAUUAUAUGUGAUAUUGAAAUGGGCCUAUAGGCCAUACCAUUUACAGUAAAGGCUUCAGCCCAGUAAUAUGAAAUAUGAAAAGGCUUCGGCCCAGUGGGUUUUUAAAACACUAAGACGGAACGUGGGUUUUCAACUCCAAUGUGGCACGUCAGAUUCGGUCAUAACGUCUAGGCCAGGUUUUGGGUGUUACAGUACCCCAGGGGACACACGGCUGUGUAACAUAACCGUGUGUCACACACGGCUGAGACACAAGCCCUUGUCUCUACCCGUGUGGACAAAAAUAGGCUAUUUGUAAAGCCAAAUUGCCACCCAUUUUGGGCCAUCCCUACAAGCAUCAAAACCAAAAUAUUUUAUACCAAAUUUUCAACCAAUUCACAACCAAAAUAUAAAUCAUUCAUGUCAUAUCAUUAUCAACAAAUUUCAUCCUCAAUAUAUAAACCAAAACAUAUCAAAUCCUAAGCCACAGUCAUACCAAAUAUGAGUUUCAUAACCUCAUUUCAUUUCAUUUAAUAUCAUGUCAUAAACUUACCAAUCCCUCAAAUAAGAACAUUCCAAAACUUACCAAAUUGACCAAUUCACUUGGCCAUUCAUGAACAUAUCAUAUUGACCAUAAUGCAUCACAUAAUUUAUAGCCAUAGUUCAUUCUUAUACACAACCAAAUCCAAGCCAUAUCACAUGGCUAGAUAUAAACAAUACAAAACAUAUUCAAAUACAUCUAGCAUAUACAUGCCAUAUUCCAUAUAUAUACAACUCUUAAAAUGGUACCAAAAUAGAUGUCCGGUAGUGUGAAUGAGUCGCUGACGAUCCCUAAAUCCAAGCUAGCUUUAUAACACUGUAAAAUAGAGAACAUUUCACACAGUAAGCUUUAAAGCUUAGUAAGUUCAUGAUAUAAUACAUUUAACUCAUCAAUUAAAAUAUAAUUCAAUUAAUUAACUAACACUUAAUACAACUCAUCACAUUACUCAUUUCAUCAUUCAUUUACAAAAUCUUUCAUCCAUUUCAUACUCUAUAUCAUCAACCACAUAGGUUCCUUACAUACCUGUACCAUCAUGUUCUUAUCUAUCACAUUUAUCACUUCAAUGCUCGAUGCACUAAUUUCUUUGAUCAUCCUUAAACGUUCAGUGAAUUCGCACACUUAGUGCCAAUUAAGUAGUCGAAGAUAUAAUAGUAUCGCACACUUAGUGCCACUAUAAUAAACUGAAUUAAUAUCGGUAUCGCACACAUAGUGCCUUUUAUUCAGCCAACGCUGUUUUAAUCUCGCACACUUAGUGCCAUUUUAGUAGCUGUAGUUAUUCUUUAUUCGCACACUUAAUGCCAACAUUGUUUAAAUAAUAUGUAUUAUACAAAAACUUACAUUGGAUGCAAAAACGACGAUAAUAGUCAAUCAAUCGAGCACUUUGUUUUUGCCUUGAUCUAGGUCCGAAUUCCUCUUUUCUUGAUCUAUAUAAAUUCAAAUUUAACUCAUUUAAUCACUAACACAUUCAACUUAAUACGAAAACACAUAUUUGGGCCUUUUUGCACUUUAGCCCCUAAAAUUACACAUUUUGACAUUUUAGUCCUUAUUACACAAAACACUAAAUAUACAAAAUUCAUCAAAACCAUGCCUUCGAUGAAUUUUCCUAUAGUCCUUACCAGCCCAUAUUUAUCAUUUAUUUCACAUUUCAAUCCCUCAAUUUACACUUUUCUCAAUUUAAUCCCUAAUAUGCAUUUUUACUCAAAAUCACUUUACAAAACAUGUAUAUCAGGCACCAAGCUUUCAUAUUUCAUCAUUAAACAUCAUAAAACACAUGAAUUCAUCAAUGGAAUCUUUCAAAAACAUCAACCAAUUCAAAAAUUAAGACAUGGGCUAGCUAGAACUCAAAGCAACGAUCUCAAAAACGUAAAAAUUAUCAAAACGGAUCAAAAUCCAUACCUUAAUCAAGUAAUCUAUGCGUUGAACCCUAAAGGAAGAAAAUAUCUUCAUUUCUACUUCAAUAUUCGGCUAACAAGGAAAGAAAUGAAAAAAAUUUCAUGUUUUUUUAUAAUUUAAUUAACAUAAUUGAAAAAUUACUUAUUUACCCCUAAUGAAAUAAUAUAAAAGCUUAUAAUGUUUGACCAAAAAAGUCCAUUAACCAUGUUAAUGGUCUAUUUCAUUAAUAAGGACCUUACCCUUGAUAAAACACAUCAAUUAAGCACUUUAACAAAUAGAGGGCCACUUUUGCAUUUUCUGCGAUUAGGUCCUUUUAUCAAAUUAAACACACAAACAAUCAAAUUUCCAUACGGAACUUUCACACAUGCUUAACCACAUACUAUAAACAUGGAAAAAUAAUAUUAAAAUAUUUUUUAACUCUAAUUUUUGGUCCCGAAACCACUAUUUAGGCUAUGUUCUAAACCGAGCUGUUAUAGUUAAACCGUACACAUAGAAAGUUAUAAAUGGAGGAAGUAAUGGCAGUUUAUUUGUAUUAUUUUACCAUGUUCCUAUAGUCAUAGUAAAGCCUAUCUACGAUGGUCCUACUAUAUACCCACAACCAUAACAGAUUCCACCUGUGACAUUUUUGCUGUGCAUCCACAACCCCUUUGACAACUAGUACCUGCAAACAUGUUUUGCAUCCACAGCAAAUGGAAUAUUUUACCUGCAUUACUCUACAUUAUAUUCACGCCAUAGCAGACUCCAUCUGUGAUGUUUUGCUAUGUGUCCACAGCCAUUGAUAGUUUUAUCUACGAAUCAAUAGUGGUUUAACCACAAAACCAAUGUGUUAGUGGAUGGAGUUUUGGGAAGCUCCCAAUGCGGUAUGUAAUGGUGGGAUAGGAUCUUUUUGUUAAACCGAAAUUGUAUGGCAUUUAUAAAACAUGUGCAUACAAAACUGAAAGUUUUCUAAGAUGAUGCAUACAUAUAUACAUAUGUACAUUGUUGAGUGAUCUAAAAUGUUGAAAUUGCUUUUUUGAAUUAUUCGAUGAAUAGUAUUUCUAUAUGAUUAAUCAUUGCGUUGAUUAUUCUUGUGUUGAGUUUAUUCAAAAUAAUGAUAUUUUGAAUUUUUAUUCGAUUGUGAUUAUUCUGAAUUCUGAUAAAAUUAUAAGAAAGCUUCUUAUGUGAAAAAUCGUAAAUCUGAAGUGUUUUUUUAUUGUGUUUAUUCUCAAAAUUGUUAAAUUCAUGUGCCUUGUCUUUGGGUUGUACUGAUUUUUCUUGUAUUGGAACUCACACUGAGCUUUCAUAGCUCAACCUCCCUUAUUUUCCUUUUUUACAGAUAACACAUAUGGUUAAGAUGCAGAGGCGACAUUCGGAGGGCUCAGAUCAAAUCUAUAUUUUUACUGAAAAGCAUUUUAGACUUAUUAUUUUAUAAUUCUUGUUAUUUGAAACUCAUUUACUUUAAAGUGUGGCAUGGGAUUUAGUUUUCAGGUUUUUAUUUAAGGCAUGCAUGUCAUUUAAAAUAUUUAGGCUAUUAGAAUAUGAAUUUUUAUUUAAUUGUACAUGAAAUAUGGUAUUCAUUUAAAAAUCACGUUAACAUCACUUUUCUACUGCUAAAUUGUAAAGGUGUUUGGUUAAGAAAGAAAUUUGAAAGUCAACUAAGUUUUUGAAAUAAUCAUUGUCACAUAGGAAAAUUAAACUGAAUCAAUUUUUGAUAACUCGUGAGAUUUUCCGUAAAUUGACUAAGUUUUCUUUCUAAAGAUAGACAAAUAUUUUAAUUUGACUAUUUAGAGUUUUCGAUCGCACUUGGUCAUCUUGGUGGCCGAUGUAAUCUCUCGAAUUUGGGUCUACUGUCUUGGCUGGGCUAGGGAGGUUACAUGAUGAAUGACUUAGUUACUAUUUGUUAAGAAUUGAUUUUUCAUGAUGGAAAUGUAAUGGUUAUCAUGAGAUAAAAUAGGAUCAUAUUGGGAGAACGUAUUUAUCCCAAAGAGAUUAAAGAUACCCUUUGAGGAUAACACACUUAUGACAAGGUUAUUAGACUGGCACUGAUUGAGUAGCUUUCUCAAUGGUAUGUAAUUGGGGAGAGCUCAGUCACAAUAUUAUAGUAGAAUGACUUUAUAAUUAAAUGAGUUUAUAAUUAAUAGGCAAAAAACUGGAACUUACUUAUAAAUCAUUUGAGCCCUAAUUACAUAUGUCCAAUCAAUCCAUCUGCUAGCUCAUUGAAACCAGAAAUAAAUUGCAUAUAAAAUCAAGUGAAUGAAAAUGGAUAGAAACGAUAAAUUUAGAGAAAUAGAUUACAUUCAGAAAUAAAUGUGGUUUCUCAGUAACUAUGAAAAGGACUUGAGAUUAAAUUUAAGUUUUUCAAAUUAUUAUUUAAUUAAAUAAUUGAAAUUCAAAAAUUAAAUUAAAUUAAAUGGUCAUUGCGAAUCCGUUGAAUAUGAAAAUUAAAUAUAUUUUUCAUAUAUUCUUCUACAGUAAAAUUGUCAUGACUUUAACGAAAUUAAAAUUUGAUUGAGAAAAUAAUUUAAUUGAAAAAUUAAUUUAUCUAAUUAAAUUAAAUUAAUAAAUAAUAUUUAUUUUGAGGAAUAGAAAAACUUGUAUUGAGUUAGAUUAAAUUAUAAAAUUAAAUUAUAAAGUGUAGAGUUAAAAGUCUAGGAAACACGUAUAAAUGGACCCAAUUCAUGAAAUGCCCAAUAUUAUCCCUUCUCUCCGAGUAGAACUAGGAGAUUAAUUUUUCUACUAGAUAAAUACUAUUUGUAUUCUACUAAUUCAACAAGUAUUCUCCUAUCUCUCCAUAUAAAUAUAUGGCACUGGUAGGGCUAAAAAUACACAAUUUUGAGAAUAUUGAACUUUUUUUAAAAUAUAAAUUUUAUUUUCUUGGAAUAAUAAUUAUACCGGUUUCAAUAGAAAGUGAGAUUUAAUUUGCUACUGAAAGUAAGAAAAUUAUUUAUGAUUCUAUAUUUGAUUCAUGAUUAUUUGAACCCAACUCACACUCGAAGUGAUUUGUGGUAUGAAAAUACUGAAGAAAACCAUUUGGUUGAAAAUUGAGAAUGUCAAGAAUCCGUCUCCCACAAAGCAUAAAUACUUUUAUAAAAAAAAAUUUAUUAUAGAUAUCACAAACCAACUUUGUUUUCAAAUUUAUUUUUCUGCAGUAACAAAAAUGAUUUUUUAAACUGGAUUUUUUUCAAUAAAACCAACUUUAAUAUAAAUAUAUUUGCAUCUCAACGAAUUGAUAUCGAAACUGCCAUUGAACUUAGUUCUUUGAGCUUUAGUAGGAUUCAUAUACGUAUUUGACUAUUCAGUUAUUUUUCCUCUGGAAGAAAGCAUCGGUAGAUAGUUUUUCAUCUACACAAAAAUUCGUAUUCGGUCAAAUAUUAAUUCUUAAUAUGCAGAUGCUCAAAUAAAGUUACAUAAAAAAAAUUUAAAAUAUAUAUAAAAUUUUAAUAAUAUCCAUUUAAAUGAACCACCACCCGAAUCUUCAUAAACAAAAAGAGAAUACCUCUAAAUAUAAUAUACAUUAAUCACAAAAAUAGGAUACCACUUCAUAAAAGAAUCAAAUUUUUUUUCUCUAAAUGAUAUUUUCUGUAGUCAAAACUAGAAAUGGAACUAUCAAGUCCCUUAAACAAUCUCGAGGAAUCAUUUAGGUCAUACUUUUUUGUGAAACUAUAUUGCUUUAAACCUAUUUUUUUAUGUUAAAAAUAUAUUUUAAAUAAUUAAGAAAAACAAUUGAUUGAGUUUUAGUUCGAUUGGCAUUAAUAUUAUUGUUAGUAUAAGAGAACGUGAAUUCAAAUGUAAUGAAGCUCAUUAUUCUCCUAUUUAUGGGUUGGAUGGAGUUUAGGCUUUAAAUAUUGAAUACCAAACUUAUCUCAUAAUUUUAGUCUUAAUUUUUUUCCAAAAUCCAUUUUACAAACUUAAUAUAUUUACUUAAUCCCUCUUAAUUUUCGAACGGACUUUUAGAAUUAAGUAAAUAAUUUAGUCCUUGAAUCGGUCUAAUUGAUAAAACUUAACAUACAAUUAAAAAGAUUAUUUUUUUUCCAAGUAUUGGAAAUGAAAGAAAAUUUGUAUGAUUAGGUCCAAAGCAACAUAUAUGCCUUGGGAGUUUCCUCUGUCUAGUAAUGGUGGAAGGAAUAUGCUGUUUUUUUUUUUUUUGCUUUUUCAUUGUUCUUGUAUUUUGUUUAUUUGCUAGUUGAAGUUAUAUAAAUAAUUUGAUUAGGGUUAGCAAUUUGUUUUUGGCUACACUUUAAACACAAUUAUUUCUAUUCUCUUUUGAAGCAAGGACAAGAAGUAAAAUCCCGAGUCCCUAAAUUUCUCAAGUUGUAGCUGACAAUGGAUAAGACUUUGUUUGGUAACUUUCAUUGUUUUGGUUUCUGAAUGCAAGUUAAUCAAAUCAUUUUCCCAGAUUUUCUUUCUUCAUGUUUAGUCAGUUGAAUAGGAAAAGUUGGAGCAUCUAGAAAAAAAAAUUAAAAAUAAGAACAAAAAUUAUUAAUGAUUAAUAAAUUUUCAUAAAAAAUUAUAUUUUAAAAAAAAUAAAGAUUGAAAAUGAACCAAAGCAUUAUAAAAGGUCCAGUUUUUGUUAAAAAUCUAAAAUUAAAUAAAAUUAUAUAUAUGGUUUUUAACAAAAUUUCAAGUUACUGAUAUUCAAUUUUUAUCAAUUCAAGGCAAAUCUAUGAUUUUUCAAUAUAUAGUUGAAUCAUCAAACUAAUUAAUUCACAGUUCAAAAAGGUUGAUAGGUUAAUUUAUUCCCAUUUUUUCAAUUUGUAUUCUACAAAUUAAAAAGAUAAUAAUUAUUUGCUAAACUUAUUAAAUAUAAAUUGUUAUAAGUGGUUACAUGAUCCAAAGCUUGGAGCUCCUUUCUAACAAAGAAAAUUGCAUGAAAACAUAAGAAAUGUCUUUUUGUUUUCUCAUUUGUCCUUGUGAAAAUGGCAUUUUCUUGGUAGUUUUGUUUCAAGCGCGUUUGGAAAGUCGUGGAUUUUGCCCCCAUCACCAUUGCCCACUAAUAUGUAUAUAUCUAUUUGUCUUGCCCUCUUUGGCAUUUUACUUAGAGAUAUAAAGUGGGAACAUUAUAUUAGAUUUGCUUAGAUAUCCAUGACCCUACUUAAUCACUUUGCUAUAACACGAGUGGAAACUUUAUCCCUUUUUCCCUUCAUCAUAAAUGUCACACAUCAAAUGUUCAUUUAAUAUUUAAGGAUAUUCAAUACUCUUACUUUAGUAUUUCAUAAACUUUUUUUUUUGGUUGGUAAUUAGUGUCGAUUUCAUAUAUAUAUAUAUAUAUAUUCAAUCAAACCUGAAAGAAACCUGCGUAUUUAUAAUGGAAUAUUAUUAAAUAUACUUGUUGCGGAAUUUUUUAAAUUUUAUAAACCAAAUUAAAAUAUUGUCAAUUACUUCUUGUUUUUUUUUUUAAUAUACUUGAGAUGAAAAAAAAAACUCCAUUGUAAGUCUAGCAAAUAAUUCUAUAUAUGUAUAUAAAUAAUUAUUUGCUAUAAUAAUAAUUUCUUUUUAAUUUUACAAAUGGAGUCAAAAGCAUGACUUCAAUUAAUAUUUAAAAAUAAUAAUAAUAAAUAAAAACAAUAUUAUACAUAGUUAAAUAGCACCUAGUGUUUGUUUUAGUAGGGAGUUCUAAGCUUAGAGAUGUAAUUCAAUAUUUUGCGAAGAAAAUUAAAAUGGUUUACAUAACAUCCGAAGCAAAGCCAUCAGGCAACUUUAACUUAAAAAAAUUAAAUAUUAUUAUUUAAGGUUUUUUUUAAAUAUAAAUAUUUUCAUCUCUUUUACUUUUCCUUCAAGAACUCAGUGACAAAAUAUCAACAAAUUAUUGAAAAAUUUAUCGCAACUCAAUUUUCAAUGAUAAAACCCAUAUUCUAUCGAGCUUUUUUUUUUCUUUUUAAAUCUUGAUUUCGAUUCAGACCAAUACAAAAUCUAUGUAUUAUUUUUUUUAAUAUAACUUUUUCUAUUCUUUUCUAUAUAUUUUGUAUAAAAUAGUUAACGUUGUGUGAAUUUGUAUAAAAAAAAAUCCUAAACAAAGCAUGAAAUCAAAAUACAAAGAAGAAGAUAAGUAGAAAAAAUGGUAAGAUCGUUAUAUUAAAAAAAUUAUCUAACAAUUAAAAAAAUGCAUUAAAAGAGAAGAAAGAAUCAUGGGAAGGGAGAGAGUGUAAAAAAUUGAAAUGUUUUAAUUUAAUAAAGAACAAUUAUCUUAUACACCGUCUAUGAAGUUUUUAAAAUUCCACAAACAAAUUGAAGAUACUACAUGUGUCUUGUAAGGUGUAGUGGGCCAAAUUUGCCCGGCCCGAAUAAAAACAAUAAAUGAUAUAAAAAUCUAGAUAUCAAUAGUCCAUUAUUUACAACCCAAAAUCAAACCAAAUUAACCCCAAUGUUUCAAGACCCAAAUUACAAAUCCAUUUACAAAAUGACAUAGCCCAAUACCCCAAACGGCCCAGAAACUGAGCCCCAUUUUGGCAAACCCUAGGGCAAGGGUCUCCUUGUGCCGCAGCCCUCACUAGCAGCCAAACCACAUUGCGCCAGACAACGCCUCCAACAGCACCAGCGCACAGCCCUCGUACGCCACGCCCGUACCUCCGUACGAUGCCAGCAGACUCCGUACCUGCGAAAAAGACACACAGAACAGCAGCGAAUAGGGAAGAAGAAAAUAGCAUUUUCAUUUUUUGAUUUUUCUUUCUUUUCGGCUAUAAAGGCCAUGUAAUAGCCUAGGUGAGUUUUUUACGCAACAUAAACGCACAAUAGGCCAUACAGACACAAUCAAUACAUUUUGAAAUACAAAAAAGCAACGAGCAUUCGAAGGUGAUUCCGAUUCAUAAUUUCUGAGAUUUUUUCCUUUUCUUCUUGGCUUAGUUUCAUUCUCCCUGGAAUUUCUUUUUGUUCUUUCGCAUUUUGGGUUGUAUAAAAGAGAGAGGAAAUGAAAUCUUACCCCGUGAAUACGCCGUGAGAUAUCCUCUGAUUCGUUGAAAUCGGGGUCCGAGAGGAGUAUAAGGCGGAAAGAAAACCAUCUUGAGGCUCGAACAGGCCGAUCUCCAUUCAUUGCGGUGGAUUGGCAUGGCAGAUGGAGGGUCAAGGUUCGUUUGAGGGGAGUAAAAAUGGAGGCUAGGGUUUGGAGGUGCUGGCUUAAUCUGCUGAUUGAGCCAUUUUAUAGGACCUCAAACUGUGUCGCAUUGACAUCAAAGCCCGACCCGAUUCGAUUCCAAACCCGAUGACCCGCGUGUUUUUGCGGUGAGGGACUAUUUGCACAUUAAAUCCCUCCCUUUUGCGCCACGUUUAAAUCAAUCCAUAUUUUUAUUCCAUUUCUUUUAAUUUAGGCUUGUAUUUUGAGCUCAUUUGCAAUGGGGUCCGCACAUGUACACAGCGUUUUGGGAGUCUGGAAUAAUUUCAGUUUUGAUCCUUGCAUAUUCGUAUACAUUAUGCGCUGGCCCUUAUCUGUAUUUACAAAUUAUCCUUCCAUUUUAACGUGGUUUCAAUUAGACCCUCUCUUUUAUGUGAUUUCAAUUAUUUUUUUUAGAUUCACCUCAUGUUUUAUUUUAUUUUACUUGUGUUCAUUUACUCGUGUUCAUCGUCUAACUUGCAUCAUUUACUUAUUGUAAUUUGGGUAACUAUGCUUUCAUAUUUUGCGUAUUACCUCAUGUAAUUGUUUUCUUUAUAUACGCUAUUGUACAUAUAUAUUUGUACUUUACAUUAAAGUCAAUUUCAUUUCAUAUAUAUAUACAUUGUUAACCUUAUGUUAUUUUAUACAUGUGUUGUCUUAAAUUUAUUAUUGUAGUUUAUUACAUGGUCCUAUAUAAUAUAUUUUCUCAAUUAUUAUUAUAUACAUAUAUGUUUAUAGAUAUCUAUACUUGAUAUCUAUAUAUAUAUUAUUAAAUCUAUGUAUUUUAUGCAUGUAGUUUUUCUCUUUUUUCAUAUAUGUAAGUAUAUUCUUCAAUUCAUUAUAUAAUUUAUAAUAAAAUCAGUUUUAGCUUGCAUAUAUUUCUAUGUUUUUUACAAAUAAUUAUUUUUUAAAAAAAGGGGGGUUAUUUAUAUAUAUAUAAUUUGUAGAUCCAUUGCAUUUUUGAAGAUUAUAUCGUACUAUAUAUUUUUAUUAUUACCGUUUUUAAUAUAUUUUACACAUACUUUAAAUUAUUAUUCUAUACAUCCUCGUUUUUUUUUUAAAAAUCAAUAUUAUUCUACGUUUUGGUAUGAUUUUCGAUUUAAACAUUCAUUUUAUAAUAUUUUUUAAAAUGAUUAAGCGUAUAUCCCUAGUUUUUCCUUUUUUACAAAUAAAUUUUAAAUGCACCAAUUCAUUAAUUUGCAUGUCAUAAAGAUUUUUGGUUCAUUAGAUCGCAUUUGUUCCGACAUCGUCUUAUACCACUUUGACUUCUAAAUUCUAUUUUGUUUUGCAUACGCUCUUUUGGUUGCUUUAUAUAUGUACAUUCCUUGCGUGGCAUCCACCUUAUUGAACUGUUAAUUACUCAUCAUAUAUGAUUGAAAUUAGGCUAUAAUUCCUAGAUUAAUUAUAUUUAAUUGCUUGUUCUGCUAGUUGAUUCAUUAAGUAUUGUAUCUCGUAUGUGUAUAUUACCUCAUUCAUCGUUUUCCAUUUGAUUUUCGAAAUGCGGUUUUAUAAAAUCCAAAUUUUAUGAUUAAUCUCGUACUAUUUCAAAUUGAAUUAAUACGUCUUAAGCUAGCUCUAUAAUCAUUCAUUCAAAAAUUCUUUAAAAACGAAGGCAAGAUUCGAUGUUUGGCAAUUCGUGGAAUCGUGCCCUAACGUGUUGGGUUGCGAUUUCGCGUUUGCUCAAAAUAAUCGAAUAUCACUUCGAAAUUUCACUCACGCCUUUUAAAAUUCCUCAAAACGAAGACGAGGUUUGAUAUUUAGCAAUUCGCAGAAUCGUGCCCUAACGUGUUGGGUUGCAAUUUUGCGUUUGUUCAAAAUAAUCGGGCUUCCCUUCAAAAUUCCAUUCAUAUCUCCUAAAAUUUUUUAAAUGAAGGCAAUGUUCGACGUUUGAUAAUUUGAGAAUCAUGCUCUAUCGCGUUGGGUUGUGGUUCCUGGUUUGCUCAAAAUGAUCGAACAUUCCUUUACAUUCUCACUCAUGUUUAUAAAAAAAAUACUUAAAAACGAAAACGAUGUUCAAUGUUUGGCGAUUUGAGAAUCGUGCCCUAUCGUGCUGGGUUGCGCUUUUUCAUUGGUCUGAAACAAUUGAAGAUCCCUUCAGAAUUUCCCUCGCACUUUCUAAAAUCUUUUAAAAUAAAGGCGAUGUUCGAUGUUUGGCGAUUUGAGAAUCGAGCCCUAUCAUGCUGGGUUGCGCUUUCUCAUUUGCCCAAAAUAAUCGAAUAUCUCCUCGAAAUUUUCACACGUAUUUUAUAAAGUAAGGCAAUGGUCAAUAUUUAGAAAUUCGAAGAAUCGUACCCUACUGUGCUGGGUUUCGAUUUUUCGUUGGACUAAAUAGUUGAGCAUCAUUCUGUAAUUCUCAAAUUAUAUACCUUCGGGCAUCGAAACAAGAAAUUUUGGCAACCAAGUCGGAUCACUCAAACGUUAUAAAAGGAACCACAUUUCAAAAAACUUUUAAUUUUAGACAUAAGGACAGUAUUUAAUUGACUUGGUACCAAUUUUGGGCGUAGUGAGGGUGCUAAUCCUUCCUCAUGCGUAACCGACUCCCGAACCUGUUUUCUCAAAAGUUCGUAGACCAAAAUUAUUGUUUUAAUAAACCAAAAAUGUUUAUUUAAACUAACCUCAUUUUUAGGUGAUUCGAUCACACCAAAAUAAAAGAUCGGUGGCGACUCCAUAUUUUCAUUUUCCAAAAAGUCGAUUCCACCAUUUUUCAUUAAAAUAAUUUUUUUUUAAAAUCGUGGGAUGGUUUCGACAGCUUGGCGACUCCGGUGGGGAUUUGAACUUGAGAGUCGAGCCAUAAAAAUCGAUUAUUUACUGUCCUUUUGUUAAAAAACCGAAAAUUUAUUUUAAAAAUCAUGUAUAUUUCGAUUGCAUUUGAUUGUAUGUUUGUGCGGGCCUUGUAGAAUAGCACUGCAUUUCAUUGCAUGACCACUGUGGUUACACCUUCUAAGUGGAAGUAAGAAGCUACGCUUUCGUGAGGUUUUCACCUCCGCAUGGGCUAGUGGAUUGCUUCCGGGGUACAUCCGUACCUAUGAUUUCGUGAGAUUUUCAUCUCUGCAUGGUCAUAGGGAAAUGUAUCCCCUCGAACCGAACUCGAUCUAUAUGAGCUUAUAAUGGGUGAGGAUUGAGGAAUCUGCUGGUUCGGGUACCCAUUUUCCUAGAACUAAACCACAUAUAGUGAACCUUAGGAGCUAUCCUUGGGUGGAGCCGCGUCGAACCUUAGUACUUACCCGUACAUGCGUUAUAAUCACCGUUUAUGUGCUUGCAUUCUAUUGCUAUUAUUUGAUACUAACCGAUGUUUUGUUUUGAUUGUCUUUUUUGCAUGACAUUGCAUAUUAAAGGAGGCGUUAAUCUACAUUCAAUUACUAAGUUAGAAAAUUUGACAUGGAGAAUGAAUUUUUUAGUAAAGUCGAGGAUAAUGCGGCCGUUCGUGCUUGGUCGGAGAGGCUACAAUCUGAGAGAGGGGAUAGCUUGGCAGAAGGGUAUGUGUCGGAGCUGUAGGAUUUCACUCGCGUCAAUGUAGUACAGAAUAAGCUGCAAUAGUUGAGAGACAUUUGGGUUAGUUGGGAUGAAAGGAUCAAGCAGUUGUUUUACCAAAGUUAUGGUGACAUAUCCUACCUGCUAGACAUUAAAGUGGAUAAGCAUUUGUUCCGAGCCUUGGUGCAGUUUUGGAAUUCCGCAUAUAAGUGUUUUACCUUUGGAGAAGUGGAUUUGGUACCUACCAUGGAGGAAUAUACUACGCUGCUUAGAUGUCCAAAGAUUCAGGUCUGGAAGACUUAUGCCCGGGUUUUUAGUAAUCAGGCUUUCGUGAAGAAACUGAUGAGCAUUUCUGGGAUGAGCGAGUCUUGGGUCACUGCUCGGAUUCAGCAGAAAGGAGAUAGCAAAUGUGUCCCUUGGGAGAAUUUGCGAGAUUUGAUCUUGACUCAUCUAGACGAAAGAAAGAGGGUCGAUAUAUUUGCCUUAAGCAUCUACGGAUUAGUGAUCUUUCCUACGGCUUUGAGGCACGUGGACGAGGCGGUCAUUGACUUGUUUGAUCGUCUUGAAAAGGGAAUCACACCGGUACCGGCAAUAUUGGCAGAAACGUUCAGAUCUUUGAGCUUAUGUCAGAAGACGGGUGAGGGGCGAUUUAUUGGAUGUGCUCAACUAUUGAUGGUAUGGUUUCAUGGGAACUUUUGGAAGGUAGACAAGGUUUCCUAUCGAGUCUUUUCCAAAGGUUAUUCCCCUUUGAAAGAAGAGGUAGCUAUACAGAGGAGAAAGGAUAUCUCAGAAGAGAAGUGGAUGGAUAUUUUUCAGAACCUUAAGGAGGAGGAUAUCGAGUGGAGUGCUUAUUGGAUGGUUCCUGAUGAGAUCAUGUACCAAUGUGGUAACUUUGAUUGGGUGCCAUUGUUAGGAAUUUGGGGAGCUACCGGGUAUACUCCGUUGAUAGCCUUGAGGCAAUACAAGUCGAGGCAGUUUGUACCCACGACCUAUGGACUUGCUCAGAGUGAAUUCUCGUUUAAAGGUGCUCACUAUUAAAAGAGAGUUCGGGAGUUAUCGGAUGCUUGGAAGCAAACUUGUUAGAUGAAGAGGUUAGCCGUCGGUUCUAUGGUAACGCCCGAGUACAGCAAGUGGUUUAAGAAGAGGAUUAAUGAUAAUAUUCCUAGGCCAAGCUUAGAGAAUGCUCGGCCUAUCGGGGAACAAUUACAAGUCGCCCCAUCAGAAUUGGAGAUUAUAAAACAAGAUUUCGAGAAGAAGAGUUUGGAGUUUGGUAAGAAGAUCGAACAAUUAGAGGAAGAGAAGAUGCACCUAAGAUUAGAGGCUGAUGUCCAAAGGUCAGAGGCUGAGAAGUGGAGAAAAGGAAAAACUAAGGCUGAAGAAGAUCUAGACAGUUUGAAAAUGGACUACAAAAAGUUACGCCUAUCUAUGAGGAUUGCGGGUUUAGGUAAGACUUCCGAACAAUGGCGCCAUGAAAUUCGGGAAGAAAAAACCAAUACCGACCGGUGGGAAAGGAAAUUUCGAGAAACUCAAGCACGAAACGAAGAUUUGGAGAAAAGUCUAUCAGAAAGCAGAAAUGAGCAAGGGGAAUUAAGGGCUAGAGUGGCAGAACUCGAGAAGUCCCUACAUCAGUACCGAAACCGCAACACCGUGACAGAAUUGAGGGCAAGCUUGAGCAAAAUACAAGAAAUGAAAGGAAGAAUAGAAGAGUUAGAGGCGUCACUGCAAAAUUGUGAUAUGCGAAUCCAGUUUUUUGAGGCAAACGAGGAUCGUUGGAAGGAGCAACUUCACCAUGCGCAAGGCCAAGUUAGAAAUAGGGAUUACCUUAUGGGAGAGGCCAUAACCCAGAUCCGGGAGGUAGCGGACUACUUGCAAACUCUAGCGGUUCAGGCAGACACACUAAGCGUGAAAUAUGAGUUAGAGUCGGAGCGCGAACAAGAGCUGGCCUCAUUGCUUAGAAAAAUUAGGACUUUGAGCGUUAGAGCAAAAUUAUAUUUGUAACUCGACUUUAUGUAAAAGAUUUUAUUUUCAAGUAAAAUUUUCUAAGGGCUGUUGAAUCAAAAUUGAUGCCUCCUUUACAUUCAUGCAUUUGCAUUACAUCAUAUCAUUAUGCAUUAAAGGCCAUUAGAGUUUUCUAAUUAAUUAACUAAAAAUUAUUUCAAUAACCUGGAAACCAAUGAAAACCAACCACGCACCCCUACAGUACAAGGAAAAAAUCAAUGGAUAAGAGACUCGAGAAAUUAGAGCGGAUGCAAAAAGACAUGCAAGAACAAAUACAGUCUCAGAUGCAAGAGCAGCUAGCCAAGAUUCAGUGAGAGAUGAAAGAGCAAAUGAUGGAGUCCCAGAGGGAAAUGAUGAGUCAGUUAUCCCAAUUGUUGUUGGGAGGAACGGAUAAGGGAAAGGGCCCCAUGGACAAAGUUGAAGAAGCUAAUGAGGAUCCUCAAUACCCCCUGGCUUCACUCUGACACAUGUACCGGUGAAGCUCGAGAUUAAUCUACCGAAGCCAUCUGUCACGAUCAUACCCCAGCAGGUUCAGGCUGGAGCUUCAAUACUGAUGAAUUUCCAAACCGGCUUAGGCUCCAACUUUGUCAACAACCCGAACUAUCCGCCCAUUCCCGAUUUGGAUGAAAUUGCUGAAGAAGAAAAGGCGAGGAUGGAUUCGCAAAAACAAUUGGAAAAACGGUGUAGAUGGCUCGAAGAGAAAUUUAAAGCCAUGGAAAGCGCGGAUCAUCAUCAAGGGAUUAAUGCCAAGGACCUAAGUUUAGUCCCAGAUUUAGUCCUUCCCCCCAAAUUCAAAAUGCCCAAGUUCGAGAAAUACAAUGGAACAAGUUGCCCUGAAGCUCAUAUCAUUAUGUUCUGCAGGCGAAUGACGGGAUAUGUUAACAAUGACCAGCUAUUAAUCCACUACUUUCAAGAUAGUUUGGUCGGGGCGGCGUCUAAGUAGUACAACCAAUUAAGCCGCUCUAAGAUUAACUUGUGGAAGGACCUGGCCCAAGCCUUUAUGAAGCAAUACAAUCACGUGACAGACAUGACCCCUGACAGAAUCACUCUCCAGAAUAUGGAGAAGAAAUCGAAUGAAAGCUUCAGGCAGUACGUAUAAAGAUGGAGGGAGGUGGCCAUACAAGUUCAGCCGCCACUUCUAGAAAAGGAGAUAACGAUACUCUUUAUAAAUACCUUGAAGGCCCCUUUUAUCACUCAUAUGUUGGGAAGCGCCACCAAGAGCUUCUCCGACAUAGUGAUGAUGGGAGAAAUGAUCGAAAAUGCUGUAAAGAGCGGCAAGAUAGAAUCGAGAGAGAGUGCUAGGAAGUUAGCCCCGAGGAGAAAAGACAAUGAAGUGAACAACACGAGCACAUUCAACAAGGGGCAGCCCAAGUCAAUUACCGUAAAUCAACCCAAAAUGGUGACUACCAAUCAACAAAGUUCUGUAAGGCAAGAAUCCAAUGCGAGGAAGAACAUAGAAAGGCCACAAUACACCCCUAUACCCAUGUCCUAUAGAGAGUUGUACCAGAACCUGUUCAACGCUCAUGUGGUAUCCCCUUUCUACCUGGAGCCACUGCAGUCCCCGUAUUCCAAAUAGUAUGACGCGAAUGCCCAAUGUGAGUACCACGCGGGAAUCACCGGGCACUCAAUCGAAAAUUGCACUGCGUUUAAGAAAGUGGUCGAAAGACUCAUUAAGGUGGGAAUCAUGAGAUUUGAUGACCCAGCCACGCCCAAUUUAGCAGGAAACCCACUCCCUAAUCAUACCGACCAAGGAGUGAAUGGGAUAAGUGAAGGCUUGAACAAGAAGACCAAGUAUGAGGUGGCAGAAAUCAGGACCUCGUUGAAGCGGGUAUGGAAAGAGAUGACUAAGAGAGGAUUGAUAGCAUUGGAUCCAAGGGAAGAACCCGAAGAAGAGAGAAACUACUGUGAGUUUCAUGACGAGGUGGGGCAUGAAAUCCAAGAAUGUGUGGAAUUCAUGGCCCUCGUGCAGAACAUGAUAGAUAACAAAGAAAUGGAAUUCUAUGAAGAAGCUAAAAGCCUCAUAGAGGGAAAUGUAUGCGCAUCCGAGGGAGAAUCAAAGGCGUAGAAUCAAAUGCCUAAUUAUCCCGUGGUGAUCAUUUCGAGACCCAAAAAUAAUGAAGCUGGAGUAAAAAUGCCAUCGAGGGUCAUAAUCCAAAGACCUGCAGUCUUCCCUUACAAAAACAGUAAAAAGGUCCCAUGAAAUUAUGAUUGCAGUGUGACGAUGCCGGGAAAAGAGAGCCCGGUUAGCGCUUCAAUAAGGGAUCAAGAUAGAGGUUCCUAUACACAUAGCGGGAGGCGUUACGAUACAAUGAAUGAGGAGGAACAGCCCACAAAAGAAAAAGCCCAGGUGGUCAAGGAAAUGAAGGAAAAAGCAACCAAACUUGUUAAUGAGCCAGUUAACGAAGACGAGGCCAAGGAAUUUUUAAAAUUCCUAAAGCACAGCGAAUACAGUGUGGUAGAACAGCUACGUAAACAACCAGCUCGCAUUUCAGUGCUGGCCUUGCUUCUAAGCUCGGAAGUUCAUCGUAGCGCACUAAUGAAGGUCUUAAACGAGACAUAUGUUGCCAAUGAUAUCUCCGUUAACAAGCUGGACCGGUUGGUGAGCAACAUAAGUGCCGACAAUUUUAUCUUCUUUAAUGACGACGAGAUACCACCUGGGGGCAUGGGGUCGACUAAAGCUCUGCAUAUCACCACACGCUGUAAAGGGUACACGCUACUAGGUGUACUGAUUGACAAUGGAUCAGCUUUGAACGUCCUGCCAUUGACCACGCUGAACAGAUUACCUAUAGACAGCUCUCACAUGAAGGAGUGCCAGAACAUCGUGAAGGCAUUCGAUGGCACGGAAAGAAAGGUGAUGGGCAGAAUCGAGGUACCUCUCUAGAUUAGGCCAAACACAUAUGAGGUGGAUUUUCUCGUGAUGGAUAUCAAGCCCUCAUACAAUUGCUUGUUGGGGAGGCUCUGGAUACAUUUAGCUGGGGCAGUACCUUCCCCGUUGCAUCAAAAAUUGAAGCUGGUGUCGGAGGGGAGGUUGAUAACGAUUAAGGCUGAAGAAGAUAUUAUUGCAACUGUGAGCAAUAAUGCACCCUAUUUGGAGACAUAUGACGAAGCAAUCGAAUGCUCAUUUCGAUCUUUGGAAUUUGUUAACGCGACGUUCAUCACCGAGGGAAGCAAAAUUUUGGUGCCGAAAUUGUCCAAAACCACGAGGAUGAGCCUCGAGUUGACGAUUGGAAAAGGGGCCCUACCCGGAAAGGGACUUGGGAGACAUCUACAAGGAAGGAUCGAAACGCCAAUGCUGAAAGAAAAGAGAGACCGCUUCGGCUUAGGAUUUAAGCCGGAUGUGAAACAAAGGAGAAGGGAGCCAGAAAAGAAGCAAGAAAGAAGGAGAGCUCGAUUAAUGGGGGAGCAAAUCAAGUGGGAACCAAUGACAUUCCCCCAUAUAUUGAAAACAUUUGUAUCCAGGGGAAUCAUUCAUCCUGAGAGAGACACGCCAAUGAUGGGAGCUAUAAAAGAAAGUCUGGAAAGUUUGGACAUCAACGUCAUGUACGAAAAGGAGACUGGAAGGGAAAAUUUGUCGGGCAUUUGCCCCUACACGCCUGGAAGUGUUCUGGACAACUAGAUUGCGGAAGAGAUCCUUGUAGUUUUUAGAACGGAUUCAGAGUAAUGUCCAAAACACACUUAUUGCUCUAGGCCUAGGAGUGAUAAGAAUCUUUUGUGAAAUAGGCUGAUGUUUAAAAACGAUAUUUCAAUAAAAUGCACAGUUAUUAUCAUUUUUGAGCAAAUGUUCUCUCGUCCUCUUAAUUUCAUUCAUAACCAUACAAAUGAUUACUUUCGGAUUCUUUUAUUCUUGAAACAUUCUUCUAAGUAUUCUUUCAUUCGUCAUUCAUAAUCAUAUCACGCAAAUAAAUGUUUCGAAUUCUUUUGAUUCUUUGUAUCUGCCUUCGUCCUUAUAACAGGUUCCCAAAUAUUAAUGAUACGAGUGACACUGCUAGCGACUCAGAAUUUCCUUUCGAGCAAGAUGUAUGUAUGGAUGAUUCUUAGGAUUUUGAAGAUGACCAAGGCUGUAACCUAUCUCUUGAUUUGUUGAAGAUGGAGGAACAAGACGAGAAAUAAAUCCUACCUCACAAAGAAUUAAUCGAAAUUGUGAGCUUAGGAGAAGGACAAGAGGUAAAGAUCGGAAUAAGUAUCACUGCGAAAAUGAAGCGAGACCUCAUUGAAUUACUUUAAGAAUUCAAAGGUGUCUUCGCAUGGUCAUACCAAGAUAUGCCCGGGUUGGACACUGACAUCGUGGUGCAUCGACUUCCCAUAAAAGAAUAGUGUAAGCCAGUUUAGCAAAAACUCCGAAGAAUGAGGCCCGAUGUCUUGCUAAAAAUAAAGGAAGAGGUUCGAAAGCAGUUUGACGUUGGAUUUCUGAAGGUGGUAAAAUACUCAGAUUGGGUAGCCAACAUCAUCCCUGUCCCUAAGAAAGAUGGAAAAGUGCUAAUGUGUGUAGACUACAGAGAUUUGAAUAAAGCCAGCCCAAAAGACAAUUUCCCACUGCCUCAUAUCGACACCCUAGUGGACAACAUGGCGGGACAUUCACUGUUUUCAUUCAUGGAUGAUUUUUUGGGAUACAACCAGAUCAAGAUGCAUCCUGAAGAUAUGAAGAAGACCAUAUUUGUAACCAUGUAGGGCACGUUCUGUUACAAGGUGAUGCCGUUUGGAUUGAAGAAUGCGGGGACAACUUAUCAAAGAGCUAUGGUAACCUUUUUUCACGACAUGAUGCAUAAAGAAAUCGAGGUUUAUGUCGAUGACAUGAUCGUAAAGUCUCGAACAGAGAAGGAGCACAUACAAGUCUUGAGGAAAUUGUUCUUGAGGUUGAGGAAGUUCCAGCUAAAACUCAACCCAGCCAAAUGUACCUUCGGAGCUAAAUCCGGAAAGUUGCUCGGAUUCGUGGUUAGUGAGAAAGGGAUUGAGAUCGAUCUAGACAAAGUUAAAGCCAUACAAGAGUUAUCCUCGCCGCGCACUAAAAAAGAAGUUCGAGGCUUUCUAGGAAGAUUAAAUUACAUUGCUCGGUUCAUUUCACAACUGACCGAGAAAUGUGGCCCUGUCUUUCGCCUCCUCAAGAAACAUAACCCAGGUGAAUGGGAUGAAGAAUGCCAAAGGGCUUUCGACAAGGUUAAACAGUACUUAUCCAACGCCCCGGUGCUGAUGCCACCUAACCCCGAUAAGCCGUUGAUACUGUAUUUGGCAGUAUUCGAGAACUCUAUGAGAUGCAUGCUGGCUCAGCAUGAUGAGUCAGGAAGGAAAGAAAAAGCUAUUUACUAUCUCAGUAAAAAGUUUACGGAAUGUGAGACAAUGUACCCGUCGAUAGAGAAGUUGUGUUGUGCCCUAAUAUGGACAACCCGCAGGCUGAGGCAAUAUAUGUUGUAUCACACCACUUGGCUCAUAUCAAAGUUGGACCCUUUAAAGUACAUGAUGGAGUCAACAACCUUAAAUGGAAGGAUGGCCCGAUGACAGAUUCUGCUUUCUAAAUUCAACAUAGUCUAUGUGAACCAAAAAGUAAUAAAAGGAAGUGCGAUAGCAGAUUUUCUAGCCAGUAGAGCUUUGGAAGACUACGAGCCUUUGAACUUCGACUUUCCGAAUGAAGACCUAAUGUGUAUUGCUACGACUGAAGAAGGUGCUCUGGAAGAACUUCUUUGGAAACUGAACUUCGAUGGGGCAUCAAAUGCUGUGGGCAAUGGAAUCGGGGCCGUCUUGGUAUCCCCAAAACGAGAUCAUUACCCAUUCACUAGUAAAUUGGAUUUUGAUUGUACAAAAAAUAUGGUGGAAUAUGAAGCGUGCAUCAUGGGUAUCCGUGCAGCCAUAGAACGUAAGAUUAAAGUGCGAGAGGUGUAUGGAGAUUCUGCGCUAGUGAUUUAUCAACUCAAGGGAGAAUGGGAGACUAGAGACCUCAAGUUAAUCGAUUAUCGGAAGCUGGUCCUUGAGUUGAUUAAAGAGUUUGAUGACAUUACCUUCCACUACCUUCCACGAGACAAAAAUCAGAUGGCUGACGCUUUGGCUACCUUAGCCUCCAUGAUCAAGGUGAACAAACAAGAAGAUGUCAAACCCAUCCGAAUGAACAUUUAUGAAAUUCCGGCCCAUUCUUACAAUAUUGAAAAAGAUGAAGAGAAAGAUGAUCACCCUUGGUAUCACGAUAUAUUGCAAUAUGUGAAGAAUCGUGAGUACCCGGACCAGGCAAGCGAGAAUGAAAAAAGAACGCUAAGAAGAUUGGCCAUCGACUACGUCUUAGAUGGGGAUAUAUUAUACAAAAGAAGAAAGGAUCAAGUGCUACUAAGAUGUGUAGACGCUGUAGAGGCUAGGAAAAUCUUGGAAGAAGUCCAUGAAGGCGUCUGUGGGACACAUGCUAAUGGCUUUACAAUGGCCAGGCAAAUUAUGAGAUUCGGGUACUAUUGGUCCACCAUGGAAGGAGACUGUGUCAAUUACGCUAAGAGAUGUCAUAAGUGUCAAAUCUACGGAGACAAAAUUCUUGUGCCUCCUUCACCGUUGCAUGUCAUGGUUUCUUCAUGGCCAUUCUCUAUGUGGGGCAUGGAUGUGAUUAGACCAAUAUCGCCGAAAGCUACCAAUGGGCAUCGAUUCAUCUUCGUGGUUAUCGACUACUUCACCAAGUGGGUAGAAACUGCUUCGUAUGCUAGUGUGACCAAGUCGGCAGUGAGCAAGUUUCUGAAAAAGGAUAUUAUAUGUCGAUAUGGAAUGCCGGAGAGGAUUAUAUCCGACAAUGCAUUAAACUUGAACAAUAGUACGAUAGCAGAAGUCUGCAGUCAAUUCAAGAACAGACAUCACAACUCGUCACCAUAUCGCCCAAAGAUGAAUGGGGCAGUGGAAGCGGCCAAUACAAACAUUAAGAAAAUUGUGGGGAAGAUGACCAAAACCUACAGAGACUGGCAUGAGAAGUUACCAUUUGCCCUCUUCGCUUAUCGAACGUCAGUCAAAACCUCAACUGGGGCAGCCCCUUUUUCUUUGGUCUACGGAAUGGAAGCGGUGUUGCCGAUCGAGGUCGAGAUCCCGUCCCUUCGAGUGUUGUUGGAGUUAAAUUUGGAAGAAGCCGAGUGGAUCCAAUCUCGAUAUGAUCAAUUGAACCUAACGAGGAAAAAAGGUUAAAAGCUAUUCGUCAUGGUCAGAUGUACCAAAAAUGAAUGAUGCAGGCUUAUGAUAAAAAGGUUCGUCCUAGAGAAUUCCACGAGGGAGACCUGGUUUUGAAAAAGAUUCUUCCCAUACAGAAAUAUUUUCGGGGAAAAUGGAUGCCUAAUUGGGAAGGGCCUUACGUAGUGAAGAAAGCUUUCACUGGAGUAGCAUUGAUUCUAGCCGAGAUGGACGAUAGAAACUUGCCCAAUCCUGUAAACUCGGACUCGGUCAAGAAGUAUUUUACCUGAAGAAAGAGAGGCCUGAGUGAAAACCCACAAAGGGUGCUCUGAAAUCCAAAAAAAAACCCGGAGAGGCCAAGGUGAAAACCCACAAAGGGUAUUUUGGAACCAAAGGGGCUUUUGAGUUGAAAACCCAAAAACGGGCAGCUCAAAUUUUGAAUAUGGGGCAUAUGGCGGUCUUGUCCUUCCAAAAUCAACAAGACAGAAGAACAUUACACCUUGGAGCAUCAACAAAAUACGCGGGAUCUCCUGAACACACAUUUGGUUCGAAUGAACCUUUGAGAAAUUAGAAUAGUGAAACUCGUGCUGCGAUAUCUGGGGCAUCUUUUUCUCAUUUUUCGCACCUUACCAGAUUCAUUAUCCUAUGUAUUCACAUCAAAAUUUGCUUAAUAAAAUGACAUUUGUCCAUUAUGAUAAUCUCUUUCGAGCAGUUUUGUCGAAAUCGCGAUUUUUGAACAUGUAAUAUCUACAUAAAAGAUGUUAUGCAUAUUACUCUGGAAAAGUCUCUAAAUAGUACAAGGACCUGAAACAGGGCCACUAGUCAGAACUAACCAGGUUCAAAGUUGGAAAAUAUUGGAAAAAGAGAAAUCCAAAUUAGGACUAUUUCUUCAAAUUUUCUGGCAGAGAUAACGGCUAAGUAAGAAAACGUGAUAGCACAUCAAUGAUGGAACCCGGACGAAUCAUGAGCAAUGAUACCUUAAACGUUUGAAGAGGAAUUAUUCUCAUAGCACUUCUACAUUCAUAAUCAUUCAUUUAGUUAGGAGCACUUGAUUCAUUUCGAUCAUAGCAUUCUAAUUAUCUGACAUAAACACCACAUCUAGUUAGGGACAUUUGAUUCAUCUCGAUCAUAGUAUCCUAAUUACUUGAUACAGGAAACCAAUUCUACAAAUCAUGUCUUUGGAAGACAGUGUAGUGACAUUGGCGAAUCCUACAGAUCCUGCUUCCCUGAAGUUGCAGUGGAGCAGAUCGAAGACGACAAAUCUUGACUUCCUGAAGUUGCAGUGAAGUAGAUUUAAGUCACUAACCUAGCUCCCUAAAGUUGUAGUGGAGUAGGUUGAGAUUUUAGAUCCUACUUCCCUGAAGUUACAGUGGAGCAGAUCAAAAACGACGAAUCCUGACUUCCUGAAGUUGCAGUGAAGCAGAUUUAAGUCACUAACCUUGUUCCCUAAAGUUGUAGUGGAGUAGGUUAAAAUUUUAGAUCUCGUUUCCCUGAAGUUGCAGUGGAGUAAAUCAAAGACAACGAAUCUUGACUUCCUGAAGUUGCAGCAAAGCAGAUUUAAGUCACUAACCUAGCUCCCUAAAGUUGUAGUGGAGUAGGUUGAAAUUUUCGAUCUCGUUUCCCUGAAGUUGCAGUGGAGCAGAUCGAAGACGGCGAAUCUGAGCUUCUUGAAGUUGCAGUGAAGCAGAUUUAAGCCACUAACCUAGCUCCCUAGAGUUGUAGUAGAGUAGGUUGAAAUUUUAGAUCUCGUUUCCCUGAAGUUGCAGUGGAGCAGAUCGAAGACGGCGAAUCUGAGCUUCCUGAAGUUGCAGUGAAGUAGAUUUAAGCCACCAACCCAGCUCCCUAAAGUUGUAGUGGAGUAGGUUGAAAUUUUAGAUUUUGUUUCCCUGAAGUUGCAGUGAAACAGAUCGAAGACGGUGAAUCUUGACUUCUUGAAAUUGCAAUGAAGUAGAUUUAAGCCACCAUCCUAGCUCCCUAAAGUUGUAGCGGAGUAGGUUGAAGAUUGUAGAUCUUGUCUCCCUGAAGUUGCAGUGGAGCAUAUUGAAGCUACUUGAAGAAAAAAAGUACCAAGAAGUCGAGGCUCAGCAGGUCCUGGCAAAUUUGGCCCAUUUAUAGUCUUUACUUUAUUCUCGUUACACGACAAUAUGCAAAGAAGGGCAGCUGUAGUGGGCCAAAUUUGCCCGGUCCGAAUAAAAAUAAUAAAUGAUAUAAAAAUCUAGAUAUCAAUAGUCCAUUAUCUGUCCAAUUACAACCCAAAAUCAAACCAAAUUAACCCUAAUGUUUCAAGACACAAAUUACAAGUCCAUUUACAAAAUGACAUAGCCCAAUACCCCAAACGGCCCAGAAACUGAGCCCCAUUUUGGCAAACCCUAGGGCAAGGGUCUCCUUGUGCCGCAGCCCUCACUAGUGGCCAAACCACAUUGCGCCAGACAACGCCUCCAACAGCACCAGUGCACAGCCCUCGUACGCCACGCCCGUACCUCCGUACGAUGCAGGCAGACUCCGUACCUGCGAAAAAGGCACAUAGAACAGCAGCGAAUGGGGAAGAAGAAAAUAGCAUUUUCAUUUUUUGAUUUUUCUUUCUUUUCGACUAUAAAGGCCAUGUAAUAGCCUAGGUGAGUUUUUUACGCAACAUAAACGCACAAUAGGCCAUACAGACACAAUCAAUACAUUUUGAAAUACAAAAAAGCAACGAGCAUUCGAAGGUGAUUCCGAUUCAUAAUUUCUGAGAUUUUUUCCUUUUCUUCUUGGCUUAGUUUCAUUCUCCCUGGAAUUUCUUUUUAUUCUUUCGCAUUUUGGGUUGUAUAAAAGAGAGAGGAAAUGAAAUCUUACCCCGUGAAUACGCUGUG